rnacentral:lncRNA from 1 species
GGUUCUAGCAUUCACAUAAAUAAAGAGACAAACAUGUAUGAUUUAUAACUCUAGAUUAACCAACUCAAUCAAUUCAACAUGUUUAGUCCUUUAAUCUUUGUUCUUAGUACUACCUUCAUGAUCCCACGCUCCUAAACAUAUAAGCUAAUAUGUUGCACAUUCAAUAUUCGGAAGAUAUAAACAAAACAUAAAUAUAGAUAGAUUAUCUUUCCAUUAGGUUGAGCCAUCUGAUAUGACAAAUGUUUCAAAUACUACACUCAUGAUCUUAUUAUCCAUCAACUUUGUCUUGCUCACUAUGCUUAAGGUUAGAGAAGAACAAAUACACUUUUGGUUCUGUUGGUGUUUUCCACCAACAGAGCCCAUGCACUUGAUCUCUGCCUUGUCUCUAUGAACAGGUACACUUCAAGCAAAACAUGGAGGAGUUUUACAACUCCCAGACUCCACCAAGUAAAGGACCUGGAUCUAUGAGCACAAACACACUGAGCAGGAUAUUGCCAACACCAUACUUCGAACUGCUGGGCAAAGAAGAACAUGGGUGACACCGUAUCAAGAGGUGCAGACGUCAAGGUCCACACCUAAUCAAAUGAUGCACCUAAAGAAUGAAGAUGGUGGAAAGUCUUGUCCAGAAGACUUAAAACAUUGGAUCCUUGUCGGAAGAGGUCAACAUCGUCGACUCAAGUCACCUUUCUUGAUCAAGAAGGACGACCCUGGUGUUCCAAGCAUUGAGUGCGCAAUCAAUGGAUACUCUUUUUAGAAGAUACUCUACGACACCGGAUCUGACGACAACAUAAUGGCCGCAGUCACUUAUCAGCUCCUGCAUGGAACCAUGCCCCUACAACCAAUAUAUUCAGCUCCAGAUGAUUUUCAAGUCACUGACAUGGGAGAAGACGAAUAUGAUCCACCCAUCAUCCUUGGAAGACCGUUCCUCAACACUAUCAAAGCAAUCAUCUACAUUGGAACCGGAGAAGUCCACAUGUACUUCCCCUCUAAGAAGACGACGCAACCGCAACCAGAGGAGGCAAGUCAUCAAGAACGGAUGGGUAGACUACGAAGGAGAAGUGAUAAGGACUGAAGACAUACAGCUUGAACAGAACUGUCCUGAGGAGACCAUAGCACCGAGUCAGGUGUGGAGGGAGACUACGCCACCUAGCGAAUCUCCGGACGACUGAGAAAGCUGAGAGUCCCGUUCGGAGGACUUAAAAAUACCGAACGCCUUGCCAAGAGGUAAACUUGGUAGUUACCCUUUCCUUUCAAUUAUUCAAUUAUAAUUUGCUUAGUUAAUCAGGUUCAUGCUAUCUUGAAAAGAAAAUAAAAAUGUUAAAAAAAUAGUAAGCCCCAUGUGAGUAUGCUCAUGGCAUAAAACCCAUAAGUACAUUCACAGUGGUGGCAUAAAAAUAAAAUAAAUAAGUUUUCAUCUUACAGUAAAAAUAUAAAUAAUAAUAAUAAUAAUAAUAAGUGUAUGAUCCUGCUAAAUAAAUAACAUUUAUUCAGGAAGCUCAAUUGAUGAAGGCUAGAUAUUUAUGCUAACACUUAAUUAGUUCCACAAGCUUUGUUGUCUAUUUGAGCUCCACGGAAUUUAAGAAUCAAGAAGACUAGCAGACGGAGGACAUUCUAAUCGCUGUCAGAAUGCUGCUGACUUUCAAAUACACCUCUGCCACCUACUAGCUACAUCAAGAGAAAUUACGUCAAAAUUCAGCUUGAGGGAGAGCACCCCCAUUUAUCUCGCUAAGUAUUUCUACCUAUCUUUAAACUUAUAUUAGAAUAUUAAAAUACAUAAACUAUGAAAAACAAAAUAAAGAUUUUGUGCUUAUAUAUAUCUUUUGCUUAGUAUGUUUAAUAAAUAAAUAAAUGGCUAUGCUAAUCUGAAUCUUAAUAAUAAAACUCUAGCAUGGAUAUCAUGAAUAGUUGCUCCGCCUAAUUUGCAAUUUUGAAGUUCUCUCUCAAGUUUAGACAUAACUGUUAUAAUUUAAAUCUUGCUCUAGACCUAAACUUGUAGGAUGAAAACUUGAUCUGAAGUCUAAGUUGUUAACGGAUACGAUAUGGGAAGGUUGAGCUGCUGUUUAUCUGUUCCUAGAGAUGCUAGAAUUCUGGAGAAUUUUAUCUUUGAAAAUCUUUGAAAUGUUGCAUGAUGAGUUCCUGUAUGAUGAGAGUUUAAAAUCCUACCACAGCCAUAUGUACAUGCUUAUUAGACUAUGAACCAUACAUUUACUUUUUACUGCUUAUGAGCAUUGAGUGUGGUCAAGCUGUGUAGACCCUUAGGAGCUUGUCGUGUGGUUAAAAUCAAGAUUCACUUGCACGUUCACUCAUACAUGCUACUUCUACUCCGGAAGUACCAUCCACAUACAUCCACUCAUUUCCAUCUCCAGAUUCACCCAAAAUUAUUCUACUCCUAAUCUGGGAGAGUAUAGUCAAAAACAUUUUCCUAUCCCUGUUAUUCCCUGUGAAAUAAAUGCUCCAAAUAUUUUGGUUACUACCACUUGCUAUAUUAUCUCAAGAGAUGAGUGCUCUGAAAAAAAAGAGAAAGAAAAGAAAAAAAGAAUAAAAAAAUAUAUAUAAACGAGGAAAUAAAAAGGGGCAAGUGCCCGGAACCUCGAAAGAAAGAAAAAGUGAGACGAGAGGUAAAAAUGGACAAGUGUCCGACAGUAGAAUUAGGGGUACAGGAUACCCACCUGAGAGGAAAGAAAAAGAAGAGCAUCUCAUUCUCCUCAUAAAGUUUCAAAAAGCAAGGAAGGUAUGUAUCCCCUCAAGAGAGCAAAAGUAGAAUUAGACUUUCACCAUUGUUAUUACCAUCAUCACCAUACACCAUUCAUUCGCCACACAUGCACAUCUUGAUUUGGCUUAUUGAUUUGUUUCUCUGGAUCCAUAGUUUGACUAUGCAAUAAAUGUCUUAUAAGUAUGUAUUAACUGUCUCCCAACUAUGAGCUCCAGAUAUCAAGCCUUAUUAGAGUAGGGUGAGAGAGAAGGCAAUGUCACUAUGCCUUAUACCACAAAUACCACAUGUCUUGAGAGAAGGCAUAUACCAUCAAUGCCUUGGUAAGGAUCCAGAAAUACCACAAAAGAUAGAUAUGAGAGAGUCAUACAAGGAAUCUCUGAGUUUUAUUUGAAAAUCUGCAAAAAACCCCAGAGCUAUAGCUGAUCAAGAAUAAGAGACAUGGCACUUGGCUAGACUGUUCUAUCUUUUAACCUCUCAAGAUAGAAGUGACGGUUACAAGUCCCAUGGUGAAGGUAAAGUAAGUUUUAAGUCUUGACAGUUUACUCUAACUCAGAGAUGAGAUUUUAUUUAAAAAGCAUGUGUACCGUUAAUUUUUAAAGAUAUUGCAACAACUUCUAAUCCAUUGCUGAGUCUAUCCUUGCUCAGGGACGAGCAAGAGGUAAGCUUGGGGGAGUUUGUUGACGGUCCUUAAGUAUCAAAUUUAAUUAUCAAAUAAAUAAAGAAAAGGAUCCAAAUGCAACCAACACCCAGACUUAGGGUUUUAUCUGACAGAAUUCCACGAGUUUUGGUGUUUGUGUAUUUCUGCAGGGGGUUAUCAGGAAAUACGGAAGAAAGGCCCACAUGUCGGGAUUACAUAGAGAUAUUAACGCACCGCGCAAUUUUCUACCAUCUAGAAGACUCCAGAAGCCACGAGACCGAAGCGGAGGCGAAACGGGGCCAGGACCUGGGCGCCCGCCCACCUGCUGAGCCCAAUCAGGACUCUUUCUCUCGGGAGAUCUCCACCGACCUAUUGGAUCCAGAAUAACAUAGUACCACAUCGCCUACCGACCCAAAAACGCAUAGAAGGGGAGGACUAUAUAAGGAGACCCCCCUGGCCCCUGGAGAAGACAUGAAGAAAUUAUCAUAGAGAUUGAGGGGUGCCCUCGAAGGAAAACCUCUUCUCUAAUUAAUAUUUCUUUUUAGGCUUAGCAACCAAUGUAAAGUGGAAAUAGAUCUUCUAGUUUCUACUAGAUUGAGAGACAUAGAGUGGAGGUGUAGAUUGGAGGAAGCCCGGCCUGUCGGUGUCUACUCCAAGCUUGUACCUGCGGGAUCAAGUUCUCCUAACCCGAAGCAUGCUCCUAGGAUUCUUCAGUAUUUCGACUUCUAAAUUCUAGUAUGUUCUUGUUUUAUUGUUCUUGUGGUUUAUGAGUUUACUUUAAUCUCUUCGCGUAGAGUUUAGAGUAAUCAUUACUGGCGUAAAUGUGGUGUUUAGGUUGGGGUACUCAUAGAUAUUCCCUGACUAGCUGGACCGUGGUAGUAGUGAGGAACGUGACAAUUUCGAGUUACCUUUGUAGAUCACAUCUCGUUAGCAGGAAGGAUAGGGUUUAUAGGUGCGGGUUGAACAUUCUUUGUGGUGUCUUGAUUCCGUUAGCCUCCCCAUUAGAACAGUAGAUUAUCCUUACCAAGGUUAGAAGGAGACUACGGUUGCAGUCUUCUCUAUUUAUCACUCACAUCGAAAGACAUUCUUUGUGCCUAAAGGGAUAGUAGCAAUAGAUUUGGUUAGUCAGAUGCACCCUUUCUCCCAGUGGUAAAAAUAUAAAUACGAUAACUCUGGAUAACCUCCCGGGUCAAAUGCUCACCGAUAUCCGUGCGCUUGCGGAUCGUUUCCUUAUUGCGUUACCAAAUAUCAACACAGGUCAGGACAAGAAGAAGACGACGUAACCGCAACCAGAGGAGGCAAAUCAUCAAUGACGGAUGGGCAGGCUACGAAGGAGAAGUAGUACGGACAACUUGAACAAGAUUAUACUAAGGAGACCGUAGCACCGAGUCAGGUGUGGAAAGAUAAGAUAACUAUACACGAAGAAGAGGCGCCGCCGGAUGCACCGACUACGCCACCCAACGAAUCCCAGGACGACUGAGAAAACGGAUAGUCCCGUUCGGAGGACUUAAAAACACCGAACGCCUUGCCAAGAGGUAACCUUGGUAGUUAUCCUUUUCCUUUCAAUUAUUUUAAAAUAUUUUGCUUAGUUAAUCAUGUUCGUACUAUCCUAAAAAGAAAAUAAAAAUGUUAAAAAAUAGUAAGCCCCAUGUGAGUAUACGAGUGAUAUAAAACCCAUAAGUACAUACAUUGUGGUGGCAUAAAUAUAAAAUAAAUAUUUUUUCUGCUCUAUAAAAUGAAAGUAUAAAAAUAGAGAGUAACACUUAUUGAGGAGGCUCAACAUGAUAAAGGCUAGAUAUUUAUGCUAACACCUAAUCAGUUCCACAAAGCUUUGUUGUCUAUUUGAGCUCCACAGAAUUCAAGGAUUAAGAAGACUAGCAGACAGAGGACAUUCAAAUCAUUGUCAGGGUACUGCCGACUUUCAAAUACACCUCUGCCACCUGGUAGCUACAUCAGAACAAAUUACAUCAAAAUUCAACUUGGGGGAGAGCACCCCCAUUUAUCCCGCUAAGUGUUUCUAUCUAUCUAUCUAUCUUUAUACUCAUACUAUAUUAAAAUAUAAAUAUACAUAACUAUGAAAAACCAAAUAAAAAUUUUGUGCAUAUAUAUAUAUAUCAUUUGCUUAGUGUGCUUAAUAAAUAAAUAAAGUGGCUAUGCUAAACUGAAUCUUAAUAAUAAAACUCUAGCAUGGAUAUGAUGAAUAGUUGCUCUGCCUAAUUUUCAAAUUUGAAGUUCUCUCUCAAGUUUAGACAUAACUGUUAUAAUUUAAAGCUUGCUCUAAACCUGAACUUGUGGGAAGAGAACUUGAUCUAAAGUCUAAGUUGUUAAUGGAUAUGAUAUGGGAAGGUUGAGCUGCUGUUUAUCUGUUCCUAGAGAUGCUAGAAUUCUGGAGAAUUUUAUCUUUGAAAAUCUUUAAAAUAACACAUGAUGAGUUCCUGUAUGAUGAGAGUUUAAAUUCCUACCACAGCCAUAUAUACAUGCUUGCAAGACUUUGAGCCACACAUUUAGUUUUUACUGCUUAUGAGCAUUGAGUGUGGUCAAGCUGUGUAGACCCUUAGGAGCUUGUCUUGUGGUUAAAUCAAGAUUCACUUGCACGUUCACUCACACAUGCUGCUUCUACUCCGGAAGUACACAUCCACAUAUAUCCACCCAUUUCCAUUUCCAGAACCACCCAAAAAUAUUCUACUCCUAAUCCAGGAGAGAAUAGCCAAAAACAUUUUUGUUUUUUUCUAUGAAAUAAAUGCUCAAGUUAUCUUGGUUACUAUCACUUGCUAUAUUAUUUCAGGAGACGAGUGCUCUAAAAAAAGAGAUACGAGGAAAUAAAAAGGGACAAGUGCCCGGAACCUCGAAAGAAAAGAAAAAGUGAGACGAGAGGUAAAAAUGGAUAAGUGUCCGAUAAUAGAAUUAGGGGUACAAGAUACCCACCUGAGAGGAAGGAAAAAGAAAAUGUAGAGCAUCUCAUUCUCCUCAAAAAGUUUCAAAGAGCAAGAAAGGUAUGUAUCCACUCAAAAGAGUAAAAGUAGAAUUAGACUUUCACCAUUGUUAUCGUCAUUGUUGGGUAUUUUAAACGCAAACAGAAAAAUCUGCAAGCGCACGGAUACCGAUGUAGCCUUCACCCAGGAGUAUUCCAGAGUAUUGAUUUUCCACAGGGAACGUGAGUGUACUAAUUAAGAUUCAAGAUUGCCCAAGGAUAACUAUAUAAUUAUUUUUGGUGGGAAGAGAGGAAGUUUCCUGAGAGUUCUCUAGGUUAUCUAAGAAUUAAGAAUUACUUCAAAGAUUAUUUAUUUCGAGACAUCAGAACACUAACCACAGAAAGAGAUGAGAAGGGGGCUAGGAAGCUCUGGCUACGGUCCUACAAACACCGAUCCGAACGAGGUGGAAUACGUCGACCGUUAGGGCUGUCACUACCCUAGGGCUACCACAACAAUCCGCAAAAUUGGGUGCAAUUCUAGGUAAUUGCAAGACUAAACCCCAUAUCUAAUCUAUUAAUUACUACUCUAGCGUUAUAAAGAUUAGAGCACUUGAUGCAAGCGGAAAUCCAAUAAAUAACUUGAAUGUAAAUAAAAGUAAUUAAAGAACUCAAGAAUUAUGAAUUGAAGAACUUGGAGAACGAUGAAGAACGAACCAGUUGCUGCAAAAGUAUAAUGUUGAGGAAGAUCUGACAGACCCGGCUCCUCCACUCUCCUCUUCUCUCUCCCUAUUUUCUAGAUUACAACUAGAACUAACUAGAACUAGAAAUAGAGGAACUAGAACUAGAACUAGAUGAACUAGAGGGAUCCUCUCUACUUGGAUGAAGAAUUGAAACCCUAGCUUUGAUUUUGUUGAAGAGGUAUGCCUCCAGGGGCCAGGGCCCUUGCUUAUAUAGUCUUUUCAGAUGAAUCUGGGCCAUCGGAUCAAAUCGACAUUAAUCGUACGGUUUCCCUUGAUCCUUUAGGUCGGUGGAGCGUGAUCCGCGAAACGGGUCCUGUUUGGACUCUGAAGGUGGGCGGGCGCCCUGUCCCUGAGCCCUCUCGGCUUCCCGUUCGUUCCCAUGGCUUCUGGAGUCUUCUAGAUGAUAGAAAAUUGCGCGGCACGUUAAUAUCUCUAUGCAAACCCAACGUGUGGGCCUUUCUUCCGUAUUUCGUGAUAACCCCUGCAGAAAUAGACAAACACCAAAACUCGUGGAAUUCUGUCAGAUAAAACCCUAAGUCUGGGUGUUGGUUGCAUUUGGAUCCUUUUCAAUGAUUAGUUGAUGGUUAAAUGUGAAAAUUAAGGACCGUCAACAAGGUCCCCCAAGCUUAUCCUUUGCUCGUCCCUGAGUAAAGAUGAACUCAAGAGUUUCUGCAGUGGUUUCAUGCCUUAAAGAUAUACGUGCGUUCAAACAAGAUCUUAUCUCUAGAUUAGGGUAAACUGUUAAGAUUUAAACUUACUCAUUUUUCCUUCCAUCAUGGGGCUUGCAACCAUCACUUAUGUCUUGAGCAGUUAAAAGAUAGAACGGUCUAGUCAAGCGCCAUGUCUCUUGUUCUUCGAUUAACUAUAAAACUCAGAGAUUCCUUGUAUGACUCUUUCUAGUCUCUCUUUUGUGGUAUUUCAGGAUCUUACCAAGGCAAUAAUGGUUUAUGCCUUCUCUCAAAGUAUGUGGUAUUUUUGGUAUGAGGCAUAGCGGCAUUGCCUUCUCUCUCACCGUACUCUAAUAAGGUUUUGAUAUCUGGAGCUCAUAGGUGGGAGACAGCUAAAACAUACUUACAAGACAUUUAUUGCAUAGUCAAACCAUGGAUCCAGAAGAACAAGUCAAUAAGUCAAAUCAAGAUGUGCAUGUGUGGUGAAUGAACGGUGUAUGGUGAUGAUGGUGAUAACAAUGGUGAAAGUCUAAUUCUACUUGUGCUCUUUUGAGGGAUACAUACCUUUCUUGCUCUUUUGAAACUUUUUGAGAAGAAUGAGAUGCUCUAUAUUUUCUUUUUCUUUUCUCUCAGGUGGGUAUCUUGUACCCCUAAUUCUACUGUCGGACACUUGUCCAUUUUUACCUCUCGUCUUACUUUUUCUUUUCUUUCGAGGUUCUGGGCACUUGCCCCUUUUUAUUUCCUCUAUCUUCUUCUUUUUUUAGAGCACUCAUCUCUUGAAAUAAUGUAGCAAGUGGUAGUAACCGAAAUAACUUGAGCAUUUAUUUCACAGGGGAAAAAUAGAAAUGUUUUUGGCUAUUCUCUCCCAGAUUAUGAGUAGAAUAUUUUUAGGUGAUUCUGGAGAUAGAAAUGAGUGGAUGUAUGUGGAUGCGUACUUUCGGAGUAGAAGCAGCAUGUGUGAGUGAACGUCGCAAGUGAAUCUUGAUUUAACCACAUGACAAGCUCCUAAGGGUCUACACAGCUUAACCACACUCAAUGCUCAUAAGCAGUAAAAAGUAAAUGUGUGGCUCAAAGUCUAGCAAGCAUGUAUAUAUGGUUGUGGUAGGAAUUUAAACUAACAUCAUACAGGAACUCAUCAUGGGAUAUUUUAAAGAUUUUCAAAGAUAAAAUUCUCCAGAAUUCUAGCAUCUCUAGAAACAGAUAAACAGCAGCUCAACCUUCCCAUAUCAUAUCCGUUAAUAACUUAGACAUUAGAUCAAGUACUCUUCCCACAAGUUCAGGUUUAGAGCAAAUCUUAAUUAAUAAUAGUCAUGCCAAAACUUGAGAGAGCUUUCAAUUUUGAGAACUAGUCAUGGCAGAGCAACAAUUCAUCAUUUCCAUAUGAGAGCUUAAAGCAAGUUUUAUUUAUUUAUUUAUUUAGCAAACUAAGCAAAGAUAUAUAUAUAUAAGCAAAAAAUCUUUAUUUGGGUCUUUAUGAUUAUGCAUCUUUUUAUUAUUUGAGUAAAGUAUAAACAUGAGUAGAACACUUAGCUGGAUAAAUGGGGGUGCUCUCCCCCAAGCUGGAUUUUGACAUAAUUUCUCCUGAUGUAGCUAGCAGGUAGCGGUGGUGUAUUUGAAUGUCGGCAGCACCCUGACAGCGAUUAGGAUGUCCUCCGUCUGCUAGUCUUCUUUUUAUCCUUGAAUUCUGUGGAGCUCAAAUAGACAACAAAGCUUUGUGGAACUAGUUAAGUGUUAGCAUAAAUAUCUAGCUUUAUCAUGUUGAGCCUCCUCAAUAGAUGUUACAUUCUUUAGUAGGAUCAUAAAUUUAUUUUUAUACUUUUAUUUUUAUAGGACAGGAAUAUAUUUAUUUUAUUUUUAUGCCAACACAGUGAAUGUACUUAUGGGUUUUAUGCCAUGAGCAUACUCACAUGGGGCUUACUAUUUUUAACAUUUUUAUUUUUUUUCAAGAUGACAUGAACCUGAUUAACUGAGCAAACUAUUUUAAAUAAUUGAAAGGAAAAGGAUAACUACCAAGUUUACCUCAAGGCGUUCGGUGUUUUUAAGUCCUCCGAACGGGACUCUCCAUUUUCUCAAUCGUCCUGGGAUUCGCUGGAUUGCGUAGUCGAUGGUUCCGGCAGCGCCUGCUCUUCAUGUAUAACUAUCCUCUCUCUACACACCUAACUCGGUGCUACGGUCUCCUCAGGACAGUUCUGUUCAAGUUGUAUGUCUUCAGACCUUACCACUUCUCCUUCGUAGUCUGCCCAUCCGUCCUUGAUGAUUUGCCUCCUAUGGUUGCGGUUGUGUCGUAUUCUUAUUGUCCUGACCUGCUUAGAGUCUUCAACUAUAUAGUUAGGGUCAGUAAAAUAGCAGUGUACCUUCUCAGAGGGGAAGUGCAUGUGGACUUCUCCGGUUCCAAUAUAGAUAAUUGCUUUAACGGUGCUGAGGAACAGUCUCCCAAGGAUGAUGGGUGGAUCGUACUUGUUUUCUCCCAUGUUAAUAACCUGAAUGAUCGUCUAUUUUGAUAGGGACAUCAGUUACUAUACCUUUAACCUUUCGGAAUGUCUGAUCUGCCAUCUGGAGCUGAAUUUAUGUCGAUUUUAGGGGCAUGGUUCCAAACAGGAGCUGAUAGGAGACUACAGCCAUUAUGUUGACGCCUGACCCGGUGUCGCAAAGCGUCUUCUGGAAGAUGUAUCCAUUAAUGGAGCACUGGAUGGUUGGCAUACCUGGGUCGUCCUUUUUGUUCAGGAACGGUGACUUAAGUCAAUGAUCUUGACCUCCUUGAACUGUAGUGACCAUCUUAGCUAACUCGGUCCACAUUUGCUUGUUCGUGUUCCUCGUGUUAGUACUCUUCCUUGGUUCAUGUCGGGAUUGCUCUGAGAUUUGUGUAGUCUUGUUCUUGAAGGAAAACGUCUCCUUCCUCCCCUUUAUGUAGAAACUGAUCUUGGCAGCACUAGCGUAGAUGAUAGCUCCCGAGGUGUUCAUGAAUGUCCUCCCUAGGAUGAUGGGGGCCCUCUCAUCAGUACUAGUCUCUAUCACCACGAAGUCUGUUGGGGCGUACAAGGUACCAACUCGGGCGUAGAGGUUCUUCAAUAUUCCCUUUGGGAAACUUAGUGUCCGAUCUGCAAGCUGCAAAUACAUGGUUGUUUCUCGUAAAGGAUGUGUAAAGAAUUUUUCAUAUAGUACCCUGGGUAUAAUGUUGACGCUGGGGCCAAAGUCGCAGAGUGCUUCUGGGAAGUCCACCAUGCCGAUGGAGAUCGGGAUGACGGGGCGUCUUGGAUCGCCUAUAUUGAUUUUGUUGAGGACAGUUGUAGUAGUAGUAGUAGUAGUUGUUGGUGUAGUUUACGUCCUCAAGCAUCUCAGGGCAGUGAUUGCCUGAGUGUCCACUAUCUUCACUGUGUUUGUGUUCAUAGAUCUAGGUUCUUCACUUAGUGGAGUCUAGGAGUUAUAAAAGUCCUUCAUAUUUUGCUCGAAGUGUACCUGCUCAUAGAGACAAGGCAGAGAUCAAGUGCAUGGGCCCUGUUGGUGGAAAACACCAACAGAACCAAAAGUGUACUUGUUCUUCUCUAACCUUAAGCAUAGUGGGCAAGACAAAGUUGAUGGAUUAUAAGAUCAUGAGUGUAGCAUUUAAAACGUUUGUCAGAUCAGAUUGCUCAACCUUAUGGAAAGAUAAUCUAUCUAAGUAAAUGUUUUUUUCUUUACAUGACUAUCAUUUUCCAAAGAUCAGAUGUGCAACAUUUUAGCUCCUAUGGUUAAGAGUGUCGGAACAAGAAUGUAGUACCGAGAACAAAGAUUAAAGGACUAAACAUGUUGAAUCGACUGGGUUGGUUAAUCUAGAGUUGUAAAUCAUACAUGUUUAUCUCUUUUAUUCAUGUCAACACCAGAACCAAGGAGAAGCUUAUAAAAGUGAUAGUCAAGUACCUUAAGAUGUUACCUUACUUAUAGAGUGAUGGUACAGUAUCACCUUGUGGAAGCUUUCCUUUCUUAGCGGUUGUGCAUCGUGUUUGUGGCACCCUCCAUGGAUCAUCUCUUGUGAGCUAUGCCUUCCUUGUGUAAAUUGGUAAACUUCAUGUGUCUCUCUAUUUGUCUCCAAUGUGACUUUAUCUCAGGACUUCCCAGGUCGAUAUUGAAAGUUUUCCUGUAGGGGUUAGUCCACAAAAUAUCCAAUAUCUACUAUAGCAUACUAUCGGCUCAAAGAUCAACCUAGACACCAUGUCUAAUUUGAUUUAGGAGGGCAUUUUAACCUAAGCAUCAUGCUUAAUUUAAACUCCCUUGGAAGUAAGAUCAUCAGCCCUAAACUAAGCACCAUGCUUAAUUAAGAGAUAAAUGAAACUACUCCAAACCUAGACAUAUACUAAAGCAAAUAAAGGUAGCAUGAGAGCAUUUAUAGAGUUCUACUCAAGUGGAGAUGAAGUAGUGUGAUUAUUAUUUAACAAAUUGAGCAUGUCUCAAAGGUAGGGACAACCAACAUAGCAACAUGGCAAAGGAUGUUUUUAAUGUAAAGUACUCCCCCAAGCUUGAAUUUUGAAAAAUUCAAGUUUGGAUGAAUUUAAUUCAAUGUUGUAUGAUGAUUGGUUGGACAUACCUUGUGCUUGUCAUUCAUCCAAUCUUCUUGCUCCAAUCCUAGAAUGGUUAGUGACAAGAAUACCCGAAGGAAUUUUUUUACAUUUAUCCUUAUAUGCUCAAUACACAAGUUAAUGUUGCAAAUAAUUAAAAGCUCAUGUUACGAUCUGAUCAGUGCUUAUUUUAGGACACUAAGCUUGUCCUUGGGAAACCAUCAAUUUAUGUCGGCGAAGUGGUUUCUCCUCCAACGCUGACCAAUAUCAAGAUCAACUCAACGAGAUCUACAAUAUUUAUUAUAGACAUAUGCAUCGACAACCGUCCUUUUAAAUUUUUUAUAAAUUGAAAGGAAGAGGGGUUGGAGAUCACAAAUGUGGUGAUGUUGGAGAGACCAAUGGAUUGUGAAGAUAUUACAUAUGAGCAUGGAGUAAAUGAAGUGGCUAUGAAAUAAAUUCAAUGCUCAUUAAUGCUUGGAGUGAAAUCCAUGUGGUGUGGUGAAAAUGGUACGGUGAAUGUGGUACAAAAGGAAAAGAAAAAGGAUACACAGACGACUUGGUUCGAAACUAGCACAGCUACCGUUCCCCGGCAACGGCGCCAGAAAGCUUUUUGGGUAUUUUAAACGCAAACAGAAAAAUCCGCAAGCGCACGGAUACCGAUGUAGCCUUCACCUGUGAGUAUUCCAAAGUAUUGAUUUUCCACAGGGAAUGUGAGUGUACUAAUUAAAAUUCAAGAUCGCCCAAGGAUAACUAUAUAUUUAUUUUUGGUGGGAAGAGAGAAAGUUUCCUGAGAGUUCUCUAGUUGAUCUAAGCAUCAAGAAUUACUUCAAAUAUUAUUUAUUUCGGGACAUCAGAACACUAACCACAAAAAGAGAUGAGAAGGGGGCUAGGAAGCUCUGACUACGGUCCGACAAACACCGAUCCGAAGAAGGUGGAAUACGUCGACCGUUAGGGCUGUCACUACCGUAGGGCUACCACAACAAUCCGCAGGAUUAGGUGCAAUUCCAGGUAAUUGCAAGACUAAACACCACGUCUAAUCUAUUAAUUACUACUCUAGCGUUGUAAAGACUAGAGCACUUGAUGCAAGCGGGAAUCGAAUAAAUAACUUGAAUGUAAAUAAAAGUAAUUAAGGAACUCAGGAAUUAUGUAUUGAAGAACUUGGAGAACGAUGGAGAAUGAACCAGUUGCUGCAAAAGUAUAAUGUUGAGGAAGAUCCGACAGAUCUGGCUCCUCCUCCGCUCUCCUCUUCUCUCUCCCUAUUUUCUAGAUUACAACUAUAACUAACUAGAACUAGAAAUAGAGGAACUAGAACUAGAACUAGAUGAACUAGAGGGAUCCUCUCUACUUGGAUGAAGAAUUGAAACCCUAGCUUUCAUUCUGUAGAAGAGGUAUGCCUCUAAGGGGCCAGGGGGCCUUGUUUAUAUAGUCUUUUCAGAUGAAUCUGAGCCGUCGGAUCAACCGACAUUAAUCGCACAGUUUUCCUUGAUCCUUUAAGUCGGUGGAGCGUGAUCCGCGAAACGGGUCCUGUUUGGACUCUGAAGGUGGGCGGGCGCCCAAAGGAGUAGGGCGGGCGCCCUGUCCCUGAGCCCUCUCGGCUUCCCGUUCGUUCUCGUGGCUUCUGGACUCUUUUAGAUGAUAGAAAAUUGUGCGGCACGUUAAUAUCUCUAUGUCAACCCGACGUGUGGGCCUUUCUUCCGUAUUUCCUGAUAACCCCUUGCAGAAAUAGACAAACACCAAAACAUGUGGAAUUCUGUCAGAUAAAACGCUAAGUCUGGUUGUUGGUUGCAUUUGGAUCCUUUUCAAUGAUUAGUUGAUGGUUAAAUGUGAGCAUUAAGGAUUGUCAACAAUCAUCAUCACCAUACAUCUUUCAUUCGCCACACAUGCACAUCUUGAUUAGACUUAUUGACUUGUAUCUCUGGAUCCAUGGUUUGACUAUGCAAUAAAUGUCUUGUAAGUAUGUAUACUUUAUCUCCCACCUAUGAGCUCCAGAUAUCAAAGCCUUAUUAGAGUAGGGUGAGAGAGAAGGCAAUGUCACUAUGCCUUAUAACACAAAUGCCACAUACUUUGAGAGAAGGCAUAUACCAUCACUGCUUUGGUGAGGAUCCAGAAAUACCAUAAAAGAGAGAUCUGAGAGAGUUAUACAAGGAAUCUCUGAGUUUUAUUUGAAAAUCUACAAAAACUCCAGAGCUAUAGCUGAUCAAGAAUAAGAGACAUGGCACUUGAUUAGACCGUUCUAUCUUUUAACUACUCAAGACAGAAGUGACGGUUACAAGUCCCAUGGUGAAAGGUAAAAUGAGUAAGUUUUAAGUCUUGACAGUUUACUCUAACUCAGAGAUGAGAUCUUAUUUAAAAGCAUGUGUACCGUCAAUUUUUAAAAGGCAUUACAACAACUUCUGAUCCAUCACUGAGAUUAUCCUAGCUCAGGGACGAGCAAGAGGUAAGCUUAGGGGAGUUUGUUGACGGUCCUUAGGUAUCAAAUAUAAUUAUCAAAUAAAUAAAGAAAAGGAUCCAAAUGCAAUCGACACCCAGACUUAGGGUUUUAUCUGACAGAAUUCCAUGAGUUUUGGUGUUUGUCUAUUUCUACAGGGGGUUAUCAGGAAAUAUGGAAGAAAGACCCACACGUUGGGUUUACAUAGAAAUAUUAACGUGCCGCGCAAUUAUCCUACAUCUAGAAGAGUCUAGAAGCCACAGGAACGAACGGGAGACCGGGCUCGGGGGCAGGGCGCCCACCCUCCCCCCUUGGGCGCCCGCUCUGGCCUCGGGGCCAGCCAUCUUCGCGGAUCAGGCUCCACCAACCUAAAGGAUCAAGGAAAACCGUGCGAUUAAUGUCGGUUUGAUCCAACGGCCCAUAUUCACUUGGAAGGACUAUAUAAGCAGACCCCCUGGCCCUGGAGGAGAGGACCUCAGACCCCUAAUUCAUUAUUCAUCUUGGGAGAAGAAGCCUCUGAUCAAUCCCUAGAGCCGCCACAUCAAUUAUAUCUCUAGUUUAGCAUAGCUAGAUAGGAUUAGAACUAGAAGGAGUCAAUCUUCGAUUGGUUUCCGGAUCUGUCAAGAGGAUUCUUGGUAAUUCUCUAUUUUUCUUCAAUUGUUCAUUUUUGUUCUUCAAUAUUAUGAAUAUGACUUUGUUCUACUAUAAUAUAUUGAUUAUGACUUUGCUCUACUUGUUUAUAUUCGCAAUUAUAUUGUUCUUAGUUUAUCAUGGUUAUAUACUUGGCUGUAAUACCCGAUUUUAAGGACAAAACCAGGUAUGCACCAUAUGUGAGUUUUGUCCUUAAAAUCGGGUAUUACAAAGUAGUAUCAAAGCAAUGCUGACUGUAGGACGCAAGCCUAGUUAUAAAUUGUUCGUCUUAAGGUUUUGGAAUUGUCAUAAAAUCCUUGCUCUAUAAACCUUGGUAUUUUCAUCCAUACUAUAUCCCUAUCCUUGCUAUUUGUCUUUACCUUGUUGCUUAUUUUAAAAGUACUUGUUCUCACCUUCACCCCUUGACUUGGUAUGCUUUUAGAACCUUUUCUUAUCACCUUCUUGCGUCUCUGAAAGAGGAGUUUUAGGAUCCUUAUCCUCCCUUUGAAGAAAACGAUAGUAUCGCAAGUUGAGUGAAUUAUGAACCUUCAAUGUUUAGUUGGUUUGUUAUUAUGUUUAUUCUUGAUUUGGAUCUUUGUAAUGAUUGCAAUGAUCUUGUGAAAUUACUUCAUAAUUUCAUUAGUUCAUAGGCCUAAGGCAUAAGGAUUAAUGAAAUAAGUAGUUGGGUUUGGCUUUCUCUUGUUUCUAUCCCUUGCUGAUUUCUGGAGCAGUCUGCAAUGGUUCUGGUGUAUCUCAAGUUUUCAUCGUUCAAAGUCUAUCAACUUUUUCUAGGAGCAACUAGACUUCAAGAUCUUUCUCUGACCGUAAGAAUCACCCUCAUAGCUGUUAUGGUUUGGAAGUUACAAAAAUUACAAGAUGAUACAGUUGUGCUGUCAAGAGAUCUGGACCAGUUUCGAUUACUUACUGUUUGAGACAAAUAUAACUAUAGAAUUUGGAAUAGUAUUCUAUAGAAAAGUUUUAGACAAUUUUCUAAGCUUUUCAACAGUAUAAUAUGGAACUUAUUCAGAUAAGUAUAACCUGAGAUAUGACAUUUACACAUGGAUGUUUCUGUUCUGUUUAAAAGUCUGGACAGUUUUGGUACUUCCUAUUUUCGGACAUCCAAACUUCAAAAUCUGGGAAAAAGUUAUCAACGAAAUUUGUAGAGUAUUUCCUAAGCGUUUCAAAAAUAUAAGGAUCAUCUCCAGAUGAGUUAAGGAGCUCGAGAUAUAACUUCUGGAAGUUACUCUACCUUUGCUGAGACAUUAUCAGGAUGGGUAAUAUGUUUGGCUGUUUUAUCUAAGCUUAAAGACAGAAUCUAAGGAAGUAUUAUUUAUGAAAGUGUUAGGGAAUUUCAUAAGCUUUGUAACAGUAUAAUCUACAACUCUAUUGAAUUAACAGAAUAAGUGUUAUACCUGUUUUACUACGCUGGUGUUUUCAUAUCAGGAGAAAAUUUCAGGAAUCCUGUUUGUUCUCUUGCACAAAAGUUCUUUGGGAUGUCAGAUGUUUUCAAUGCUAGUUAACUUGUCUGGAAAACAUGCAAGCUACCUUUCUUGGUCCCCUAGUUGACUUUUCCUAAGGGGGUAGCCCAAUUAAAGAACUACAAGGAGAAGAAGUGGUUAAUGACUAGAACAUCGAUAAGGACAUCAAGUGUUUGGUUUGUUCAAGAUAUCAUCCCACUUAGAGAAUAUUAGUAGAGAUAUAUGUCAUUGCUGAUACUCAUGGAUUAAGAGUUGUGUAUGAGGAUCAGAUGACACCAAAGGCUACAAAGUUACAUAUGCAAUAUGAGAGUGAAACAACUUAAUUGUGAUAAAGGUACCAAUAGAUGGACUUAGUGUUGAAACCAACCUUGGAUUAAGAGACUUGGUACAAGGAAUUUAAAAGACUAUGAUGUGUAGCGUCUAAAAAGGAUAGGAGAAUUAGUCCCUAAUGUCCCCCAACCAACCUCGUCUGAAGGGGGGUAGUACUUUGGUAUCACUGGAAGAUGCAUUUUAAACUAUCAUGAAGUGAUAACUGUAUUCUGAGAUAUCUUAUGGUUAUGUGCACACAAGGGAGUGAUCUAUGCUACCCAGCAGAAUAUUAGUAGAGAUAUAUGUCAGGGAAAAGAAUUGAGUAUCAAGGAGAUCCACUACUACACGAGGAGGCAAAUCCAUGCUAAGCUAUCAUGUCUCGGAGUUGUAAGUCAAAAAGUUGGUAGUCAAGAUGGACCUUGAUCAAAUACGAAUAAUAGACAUUUUAUGAAAGUUUUGUUUACAAGUUGUGAUCCCGAGACAUAAGUAUCCGCAUUUGGAAUACUAGUUGUGGAGUUGAAUUAGUGAUCAAUAUCUUUUUCCUAUCUCUCUUUUGGAAUCCGUGCCUCUUCCGAAUCUCGAGGACGAGAUUCAUUUUAAGGGGGGUAGAUUUGUAACACCCUAAAAUUUAUUUCUUUUUGAAAUAGGUGAAAAUGAUUUAAUUUUGUAUUUUUGUGUUCAUGAAAUAUAGAGAGAUAAUAUUUUUAAUUAAAUUAAAAAUUCAUCAUAGGACAUAGAAAACAUGCUUGAGCAUGCAUGCCUUUGCAUUUUAUUUAUUGUGAUGAGUGUAUUUGAACUCAAAAUUUUAAAAUGAUUCAAAAUGUUUUGAAAUGAUGUGAAAAUAGCUUUGGAAUAAAAAGAAAACAAAAGAAAAGAAAAAGAGAAAACCCUCUCCCUUCUCUCUCUCUCGGCUCGAAGGCCUGGUUUCCCUUUCUUUUCCCCACAACCCAGCUCUCUCUUCCGGCCCAGCACGCCACCCCUUCCCCCUCGCCUCGGCCCAGAGCGUGGCCUAGGAACGCUCGCGCGCUGGCCUUCCCCUCCCCUCUCUUCUUUGGCUAGCAAGCGAACCCCGCGCCUCCGGUCACCGACAGGUGGGCCCCUCUCGUCAGUCGCCCUUCUUCAACCCCGAGUCAGGCGCAACCUGGACUUUGUUUCCAGAGCCGGCCACCGUAUCCCAGGAAAUCUGGGAUUUCCUUAAGUAACUCGCGAUCCAACCUGUUUAAAGAGCUUCAAGACCUUCCCCGCUUCCAAGUUUGCAAUCUCUUGGCCACUGCCUUGACAAAACCCUCGCUUUGCCGCUAUCUGGAUCUCGCCGUCGGGCUCCACUCAACUGUGGCCGAGGAGUUCGCGUUUUGCAGUCGUUUGGGCGUGUUCGAACCCUUGCCGAGAUUUGAUCAAGGUCUGCGAAGCCACCGAAUCAUUUCCUUCAAUUUCUCUUGUUUUCUCUCGCGCUCAAUUGCUCGCCGAACGUGUAGGAACAUCCCGAUCCGGCAAUCCUCGUCGCCGGGCCGUUCCGAGUUUUCCCCCGACUCCAAAAGCGCCUAGGUGAGAUCCCCUUGUCUCUCUCUGUCUCCCCAUACUUCUGGAGUUGUUCUUGGUGCACCGUAGCGCUCAAUCGACGAACUCCGACGAGGAGCAAGGCCCUCCGGCCAUGGCGCCACCGCCGGAGACACUGUAGCUGGCCGGCGCCCUCCCUCUCCUCCUCCCAGAUCUAAUCUGAGCCAUUCAGUCGUGAUCCAACGGUUAGAAAUCAAGGAUACCCUUUCGGCUGAUUAUUUUGCUAGAGUCCCCGGGAAAAUUAGCAUAUUAACCCACAGUCCUAGUGCCUUCCUUGAACUACGUUUGUUCUGUUGGAAUACGUAUUCCUCAUCACUUAAGUUCAAAAUACGUUUUCACGAAACUACAGGUUUGCCACUGAUUUUACAAUGCUCAUAAAAUGCUCAUUUUAAUUCCGUUUUGAUCCAUUCAUAUUGCGUUAGGUUCAUAAUCAUGAGCUCUACAUGUUAGUAAAAUUGUUUUCUCAGUUUGAAACCUUUUAAUUUCGUGAUCCUAUUUAAUUAAUUACUUUUCUAUAUAAAAUCUUGGAAAAUUCAUAACUUCACCGUUUUAACUCCGAUUUUCGUGAUCUUUACGUCUAUGAAAUCGUAGUGAUGCGUAGAAUCAUUUUCUAAACUUUUCGUACUGUUUUUAUAUGAUUGGUGUACUGUUGUAAUUAUAGCUUUGUUUGCUUCAUGUAUGUUUUCUUCGAUUGUUUGUGUGAACGAUGAUCGAGUUUAGUCGGUGAGCAACUCGUGGUGAACAAGAGUACUUCAGUGAUCAAGAUCAGAGCCUUGGACAACUAGUAAGACCAGCAGGAUCAGCAAGAGCAUUGGGAUUAAGGCAAGUAUAGCAUUUGGAUUUUAUUUCUUUAACCAUGAUUCUGUGACUAGAUUAAUGUUAAGUAAUAGACGAUAAAAAUGACUUUUUAGCAACUUGAUGAUUUAUCUGUACGUGAUCAUCCAGGACAACAGUGCAACCAUGAGGGCUAUAAUGGCUCAGGCUUUAGCUCAGAAUGAAGACCUUUUCUAGCUUGUUAGAGGUUACCCGAAAGGGCGGAGGGGCCGAACCGUUUUGGGUAUAGUGCGAGCCCCUAUCUUUAUGUGUAUAAGCUGCGCAUCAUUGUGCCAUUUGGCAGGGGGGUAUCUAUAUCUGCGCGGAAAGGAAACCUUGCGGCCCUAACAUGUUAGACGAACUUUUGAAAGGCUUCAUAGUGAUCCCUGCCGACCUUCCUUGGUAGUGGAUUAAGAGGCUGAUCACCUCGGGCGAAAGGGUAAAUCAUGACUCAUGGGUAAAGAUGUGUGUCACACCCAAUUUCAAGGAAGAAAUUGAAUGCAUAAACUUAUGUGCACCCAGAGAUCAAUCACACACAUAAGUCACAAAUUAAAUACCAUCAUCGCAGUGUUUACAAUAAACGUAGUUAUUACAUCACAAAGUCUGGUUUAACAGUGGAGAUAUAAAUAUGAUAAUCUAAGAUAACUAUCUCAAGGCCCUCACACAGGGAAGGUCGACUGGUGAAGCACAAGCCUAAAAGUCCUCAGGGUAGUCCUCAUAGCCACCACCAUCUGUUACCCAUCCGGGAUUUUUAUCCAAAGAAAAGAAAUAUACAAGCGUGAGUACAUCUCGUACUCCACAAGCAUAGCAUGAGGAUUUAUGAGGCUCAAACAGGCUAAACUAGGUUCAUUGCAUCAGCUUUUAGUAGGUCAGUGUUUUAUCAUUAAUUAUUAUAGAUUAUGCUUAAGCUCCCAAAUAUCCCAUAUGAUCAGUUAUUAGAACCAUAGUAAGUCAAUAAGUCACAUUAAAGCAUAAUUAUAUGUCAUCAUGUACCAUAAAGCCAUUAGUAACCAGUUAUUCUUUGAGUUUUCCGGGCCGCUCGUGACCGUGAGCACGGCUGUUAUAACAGUUAUACACUCUGCAGAGGUUGUGCACUUUCACUGUGAGUCGUGUUGCCCAUAUGCCCGGGGUCCGUCGACCCCCAAACACUACCAAGGUGAGCGGGCAGGGUACACUAUGAAGCCUUCCAUAGGCCUAUUCUAACCAGUUAGGGCCGCGAGGUUUCCUCGGCAGGCAGAUGUAGUAAACCCCCCUUUCAUAUGGCACAUUUCCAUCGCGGCUAUACUCAUAGAAACAGGGGCAGCCCUACACCCAAAGUGGCAAGCACCUCUUGUGCCCUUUCGGGUAACCUCUAACGAGUUAGAAAAGGUCCUAUUACUGAGCUAAAGUCAGAGCCAUAUGACUCUCCCGGUUGCACUGUAAGUCCCAGCUUUUGCCGACAGAUAAGUCCUUACGGAGGGUCUAGGACAACAUGACCAACAGUCAUUUGUACCAUAGCCCUAUGUUCCAUUUAUCAUAAUCAUGUUUAAUCAAUUAACCAUGAUUCCAUCACUGAUUUCAGAUCAUAUAUAAUUGGAGUUAGAGCACUAGCACUUCUACCCAUAUGCAAUAAAAACCCUUGGGAACAAGGUAAUUGUCAUCAACAGCUAGGAUGUCCUUAUAGUUUGCAAUAUUAUACACAUGUAGGGUGAAAUGCUUAUAAAUGAGUAGGACAACAAGGUAGGCCCAUGCUAUACUUGCCUUGGUUCACGUACUCCUGCUGUUCUUGCUGGUCCUGCUGGUCCCCAAAGAGCUCCGGACUCCCGAAAUACUCCUCACCGUCUGGACUCGAUCAAUACAUCACAAUCAUCACGCAUACCAAGACAAACAUGCAAGAAAACAAUUCCUAAAGUUAGAACAGUACACCAGCAGUAAAUAAAUUAAAUAAAAGUUUUCCAAAAACAUCUACGUGCUGCUACGAUCACGUCAACGCGAAAUUCACGAAAAACGGAACUAAAAUGACCAAGUUACGACUUUUCGGCGAUUUCCUAUAGGCAAUUAAUUAAUUAAACCUAACCCUGAAAAUAAAAAGUGGCAAACUACAGAAACAGUAGUACUAUCAUGUAGAGUAUUUAAUUACGAAUCUAACGCAAUUUGAACGGGUCAAAUCGGAGCUACAACGAAUAUUUUAUGGCCAAAACAAGUUCAGUGGCAAUUCUGUAGUUUCCCGAAAGCGUAUUUUGACCUAACCGACGGAUAAUACGUUUUCUAAAAGAGAAAGCGUAUUUCGCUCGAAGGCGCUAAGGAGUGCGGCUGAAUUUGGAAAUCUGGGAGGGGCUCUUUAAGCAAAAUUUCCCCCCGAAGGGGUACGGUGCAUCCAGGGCCGUUGAUCUCUUGAUGAACGCCCGAGAUUAGAAGGGGGAAGGAAGGGGGAGAGGAUGGGCGGCGCUCCUGGCCGGCGCUGCAGCAGGAGGCGGCGGCGGUCCAUGGCCGGCCGGCCCGAGCUCGCCGGAGCUGGCGGUUUGGAGGCUUCGGGCCACGGUUUUCAAAUCCGGAAGCACACAGAGAGAGAGGAGGGCAACGCGAAUCCAACCCGGGGCAUAACGCGGCCAGAGGGGCGGCUUGCAAGGGGGCCGACGGUGGCGCCAUGGCCGGCCCCGAUGGUGCUCCUAGGACGACUGCUAGAGGCGCUAAAAAUCAAAGAAAACGGAACGGGGAAGAAGAGGGAGGUGGUACGCGCUCACCACGACGAAGAACGGGAGCUGAGACGGCUCGAGACGACGGCUUCGCGCGGCGGGCGACAAACUCCGGCGGCAGUUUUCUGCGCACUCGCGAUUGGGAGCAGAGCCGAGGGGAGAGAGGGGGAAAAUGAGGAGGGGAAGACUCGGGCGCGCGGACUCCCACCACUUGAAGCCGAGACGCGGGGAGGGCGGAGAACGUGGGCGCGGGGAGAGCAGCUUCGACGGUUUUUCCAACCGAGCGAGAGAGAGAGUCGGGGGUGGGCGGUUGGAGGUAGGGGGAGGUCCUGACGGGUGGACCCCACCCGUCAGCCGCCAGGGAGAAAGAGGGGUAAGGGAGGGGAUCGGCUGGGCCAGGCCCAAGAAGGAGAAAGGGGGCGCGCUGGUUUUGGGCCAAAAUGGCCGAGAGAAGGGGAGGGAAGAGAGAAAAGCUUUUCCUUUUUAUUUUCCAAACAAAAUUUUCAAACUCUUUUCCAAAUGAUUUUUUGAAUUCAAACAUCUUUUCUUCAAAUCCACUCAUCACAUAAAUAAAUGCACCAGCAUGUAUGCAACAAAGUAUUGGCCUAACUUAUAUUUAAUUUUAUUUUCUCCAAAUUUAUUUAUUUUCCUAUAUUGAAAAUGCUCACAAAAUUAUUUAAUAAAGCCAAAUUCAUCUAUUUUUAAAAGAGCCAAAUUUUGGGUGUUACAAUGUGCAACCUCUGCAGAGUGUUUAAACUAGUAUACUAGCCGAGCUCACGGUCAGGAGCGGCCUUGGGCACAUCUACAUUAAGGGUGAUGAUUCUUGUAUGUUAAAUAUGCUCAUUCUUUAUUGUUUAAUGCUCUACAUUAUUUAUGUCACAUUGAUCAUGAGAUUGUGGGAGCUAUACAAUCUAGUUGCAAUACUUGUGGAGUUCGACAUGGACUCACUCUUGCUAUUUUCCCCACACAUCAGGAGGAGUGUUAGGCUUGUGAUCAACCAAUCAGUUGGAUCCUGUAGAGAGAAGCUAAUACCCAAAGUUUGGAGUUGUCUUCUGUUGUAUCCUGCCUAAGGUUAUCUCUAAUUUAAUAUGUACGUUAUAUAAUUUAUGCAUUGUCUAUUGAUAUUGCCCCUUGUUUGUAGCUAUAUGUGAGAUUUGGCUUCUAAAACUCACAUAUGGUGCAUAUCUGGUUUUGUCCUUAAAAUCGGGUAUUACAUUGGCUUAGUUAGAUUGGAAUUAUAUACAUAUUUACGAUCGUAUAGCAUUUAUCCAUGUGUACAGUGGGUAAAUAAUAAGUAUUGUGUAGGCGUGGUGCCUAUACCAUAUUUAUCUGCGAUUGUACCCUAUAUGCCAGAUCGCGGGGUAGUUCGUGGUAGUGACAGCUCCAUUGAUUCUUAUAUAGUCCCCCUCUCGUGUAUUGGGCUGGCAGAGCAACAUUAUUACAGGGGAGUGAUUGCUAUGUUUCUCAUAUUCCUUGAUAAUAUCACUAUGCAUGGGCAUAGUCCUGUCUCGCAAUGAUUGCCAAGUAUAAUUGCACUAACUAUGAUAUGCUAGACUUUAUAGUGAAGAAUAACUUAGGAAAUAUUCUUGUAGUUCGUCCUAAUUCCAUGCUAAUGACUUGCUAGAUUAUCUAAUUGAGGUGCUUAUCAUAUUUAUAUGUGGCUAAGUUAUGUUGAUCAGAUUAAUUAUCUUUGUCAUCAUUCAUACUUUAUAUAUCUUUUAUGUGACACUUAUCCCUGUGUGAAAGAGAUAGAUAGAUGCUCUCAAUUAUACAUGCAAUGAUAGAUACCCAAUUCUAUAUUCCAUUCUAUAAUCAACAUUGAUGAUUACUAAUCCCUCCUAGUGGUAAAAAUAUAAAUAACGAUACCUGGAAUACUUCCCGGUUAAAAUGCUACAUCGGUAUUAAUCGGUGCGCUUGCAGAUCUCAUUUAUUAUUCAUUCAGAAGAGCAAUUGCAUAUUUCAAUACCGCGUCUUUCAUGUCAUGCUAGGGAUGACAACUUGGCUUAAGUGGCAUGAGGGAUAUGUUUGGCAUUUUUGGCGCCGUUAUCAGAAUUAGAAAACUAAGUCUACUUUUGGUAGUGACGUUAAGAAUGCCCAACAAAGAUCAUCGACAGGUGUCAUUCAUCACCAUAUGGAGGUCAUUAUGGAGCAUUCCGUACACAUUCAAAGAUCUGGCAGUGUGGAUUCUACUGGCCUACAAUGUAUGAAGACACGAAGCAAUAUAUCAGAAGAUGUGGGUCAUGUCAAAGGCACGGAAACAUAAACAUAAGGGAUGCCAUGCGACUCACCAACAACCUACAGAUUGAGCUCUUUGAUGUCUGGGGAAUAGAUUACAUGGGUCCAUUUCCCCCAUCAAAGAAGUGUGAGUUCAUCUUGGUGGCAGUUGACUAUGUCGCCAAGUGGGUAGAGGCACUACCUUGCAAACACGCCGACAACAUCAGUUCAAAGAGGAUGUUUGAAGAAGUUAUAUUUCCAAGAUUUGGAGUUCCCAGAGUAGUGAUAAGUGAUAGAGGAGCACACUUCAUCGACAAACGCUUCAAGCAACAUCUAUCAAAACAUGGAAUCCGUCACAACAUCGCUACUGUUGACGGUCCUUAAUACUCACAUUUAACCGUCAGCUAAUCAUGGAAAAGGAUCCAAAUGCAACCAACACCCAGACUCAGGGUUUUAUCUGACAGAAUUCCACGAGUUUUGGUGUUUGUCUAUUUCUGCAGGGGUUAUCAGGAAAUACGGAGGAAAGGCCCACAUGUUGGGUUUACAUAGAGAUAUUAACGUGCCGCGCAAUUUUCUAUCAUCUAGAAGACUCCAGAAGCCACGGGAACGAACGAGAAGCCGAGAGGGCUCAGGGACAGGGUGCCCGCCCUACUCCUUUGUGCACCCGCCCAUCUACAGUGUCCAAUCCAGACCCGUUUCGCGGAUCACGCUCCACCGACCUAAAGGAUCAAGGAAAACUGUGCGAUUAAUGUCGGUUUGAUCUGACGGCCUAGAUUCAUCUGAAAAGACUAUAUAAGCAAGGCCCCCUUGCCCCUGGAGAUCAUACCUCUUCUACAAAAUCAAAGCUAGGGUUUCAAUUCUUCAUCCAAGUAGAGAGGAUCCCUCUAGUUCAUCUAGUUCUAGCUCUAGUUCAUCUAGUUCUAGUUCCUCUAGUUCUAGUUCUAGAUAGUUCUAGUUGCAAUCUAGAAAAUAGGGAGAGAGAAGAGGAGAGCGGAGGAGGAGCCGGAUCUGUCGGAUCUUCAUCAACAUUAUAUUUUUGCUGCAACUGGUUCGUUCUUCAUUGUUCUCCAAGUUCUUCAAUUCAUAAUUCCUGAGUUCUUUAAUUACUUAUUUAUUGGAUUCCCGCUUGCAUCAAGUGCUCUAGUCUUUAUAACGCUAGAGUAGUAAUUAAUAGAUUAGACGUGGUGUUUAGUCUUGCAAUUACCUAGAAUUGCACCCAAUCCUGUGGAUUGUUGUGGUAGCCCUAGGGUAGUGACAGUCCUAACGGUCGACGUAUUCCACCUCGUUUGGAUCUGUGUUUGUAGGACCGUAGUCAGAGCUUCCUAGCCCCCUUCUCAUCUCUUUCUGUGGUUAGUGUUCUGAUGUCUCGAAAUAAAUAAUCUUAGAAGUAAUUCUUGAUUCUUAGAUCAGCUUGAGAACUCUCAAGAAACUUCCUCUCUUCCCACCAAAAAUAAUUAUAUAGUUAUCCUUGGGCAAUUUUGAAUCUUAAUUAGUACACUCACGUUCCUUGUGGAAAAUCGAUACUCUGGAAUAUUCCCGGGUCAAAGCUACAUCGGUAUCCAUGCACUUGCGGAUUUUUCUGUUUGCGUUUAAAAUACCCAACAAGCUUCCUAGCGCCGUUGUCGGGGAACGGUAGCUAUGCUAGUUUCAAACCAAGUCAUGCGUGUAUCCUUUUUCUUUUCUUUUUACCACACUCACCUUACCAUUUUUCACCAUACCACAUGGAUUUCACUCCAAACAUUAAUGAGCAUGGAAUUUAUUUCAUAGCCACUUCAUUUACUCCAUGCUCAUAUGUAACAUCUUCCCAAUCCAUUGGUCUCUCCAACAUCACCACAUUCGAGAUCUCCAACCCCCUCUUCCUUUCUAUUUAUAAAAACUUUAAAAGGGCGGUUGUCGAUGCAUAUGUCUAUAAUAAAUAUUGCAGAUCUCGUUGAGUUGAUCUUGAUAUAGGUCAGCGUUGGAGGGGAAACCACUUCGCCGACAUAAAUUGAUGGUUUCCCAAGGACAAGCUUAGUGUCCUAAAAUAAGCACUGAUCAGACCAUAACAUGAACUUUUAAUUAUUUGUAACAUUAACUUGUGUAUUGAGCAUAUAAGGAUAAUUGUAAAAAUAUUCCUUCGGGUAUUAUUGUCACUAACCUUUCCAGGAUUGGAGCAAGAAGAUCGGAUGAAUGACAAGCACAAGGUAUGUCCAACCAAUCAUCAUACAACAUUGAAUUAAAUUCAUCCAAACUUGAAUUUUGCAAAAUUCAAGCUUUGGGGAGUACUUUACAUAAAAACAUCCUUUGCCAUGUUGCUAUGUUGGUUGUCCCUACCUUUGAGACAUGCUCAAUUUGUUAAACACUAAUCACACUACUUCAUCUCCACUUGAGUAGAUCUCUAUAAAUGCUCUCAUGCUACCUUUAUUUGCUUUAGUAUAUGUCUAGGUUUGGAGUAGUUUCAUUUAUCUCUUAAUUAAGCAUGGUGCUUAGUUUAGGGCUGAUGAUCUUACUUCCAAGGGAGUUUAUAUUAAGCAUGAUGCUUAGUUUAAAAUGCCCUCCUAAAUCAAAUUAGACAUGGUGUCUAGGUUGAUUUUUGAGCCGAUAGUAUGCUAUAGUAGAUAUUGGAUAUUUUGUUGGACUAACCCCUGCAGGAAAACUUUCAAUAUCGACCUGGGAAGUCCUGAGAUAAACUCACAUUGGAGACAAAGAGAGAGACGCAUGAAGUUUAUUAAUUUACACAAGGAAGGCAUAACUCACAAGAGAUGAUCCAUGGAGGGUGCCACAAACACGAUGCACAACCGCUAAGAAAAUAAAGGUUCCACGAGGUGAUACUGUACCAUCACCUUGGUUCUGGCGAUCACAUGAAUAAAAGAGACAAACAUGUAUGAUUUACAACUCUAGAUUAACCAAACCAAUCGAUUCAAUGUGGUUAGUCCUUCCACCUUUGUGAUCCCACACUCCUAAUCAUAUGAGCUAAAAUGUUGCACACUCAAUCUUUGGAAGAUAUAUACAAACAAACAUAAGUAUAGAUAGAUUAUCUUUCCAUUAGGUUGAGCGAUCUGAUCUGACAAAUGUUUUAAAUGCUAUACUCAUGAUCUUAUUAUCCAUCAACUUUGUCUUGCUCACUAUGCUUAAGGUUAGAGAGAACAAAUACACUUUUGGUUCUCUUGGUGUUUUCCACCAACAGGGCCCAUGCACUUGAUCUCUGCCUUGCCUCUUUGAGCAGGUACACUUCGAGCAAAAUAUGGAGGAGGUUUACAACUCCCAGACUCCACUAAGUAAAGAACCUGGACCUACGAGCACAAACACAAUGGAGAUACUGGACACUCAGGCAAUCACUGCCCUGAGAUGCUUAAGGACGUGAACUACAUCAACAAUAACAACUACUACUACUACUACAACCGUCCUCAACAAAAUCAAGGUUGGAAUCAACAGAGGCCUAACUACUCCGGUAAUUAUCAAGGUAAUAAUUCUUACAAUAAUAAUAAUAAUAAUUUUCUACCUCUAAGAGAGUUAGUGUCUAAUCAAGGAAAGCUAAUGGAUAACAUAUCUAAGAAAUUGGCAUCUAAUGAUAAAAUGUUAGAAAAUAUAAAUAAUAGAAUGGAUAAUUUCUCUACUGCCAUCAAGAAUCAAAGUAGCUUUAAUAAAAUGAUUGAAUCUCAGUUAAAUCAAAUAGCUGCUGCUGUUCCUGCUACUAACCCCGGUAUACCAUCACAACCGGAAGGAUUAGAAUCUGCAAAUCUUGUAGACAUGUUUGAUGCAGGUAACUACUAGAGUAUCCCAAUUGUGGAAGUAAUUAGUGACCUUCUGCCGGUCAAGAGAGGCAAUCCAGGACGCCCCAUCAUCCCGAUCUCCAUCAGCAUGGUGGACUUCCCAGAAGCACUCUGCGAUUUUGGCUCCAGCAUCAACAUUAUGCCCAGGGUACUCUAUGAAAAAUUCUUUACACAUCCUUUACUAGAAACAACCAUGUGUUUGCAGUUUGCAGAUCGGACACUAAGUUUCCCAAAGGGAAUAUUGAAGAACCUCUACAUCCGAGUUGGUACCUUGUACACUCCAACAGCCUUCGUGGUGAUAGAGGCUAGUACUGAUGAGAGGGCACCCAUCAUCCUAAGGAGGCCAUUCCUGAACACCUCGGGAGCUGUCAUCUACGCUAGUGCCGCCAAGAUCAGUUUCUACAUCAAGAGGAGGAAGGAGACGUUUUCCUUCAAGAACAAGGCUACACAAAUCUCAGAGCAAUCCCGACUUAGUCAGCAAUCCCGACCAAGGAAGAGUACCAACAGGAGGAACAAGAACAAGCAAAUGUGGACCGAGUCAGCUAAGAUGGUCACUGCAGUUCAAGGAGGUCAAGAUCGUCGACUUAAGUCACCAUUUCUGACAGAUCAGACAUUCUGAAAGGUUGAAGAUUAUUGACAUGGGAGAAGACGAGUAUGAUCCACCCAUCAUCCUUUGGAGACCGUUCCUCAGCACCGUUAAAGAAAUCAUCUACAUUGGGACCGGAGAAGUCCACAUGCACUUCCCCUCUGAGAAGGUACGCCGCUAUUUUACUGACCCUAACUAUGUAGUUGAAGACUCUAAGCAGGUUAGGACAAGAAGAAGACGAUGCAACAACAACCAGAGGAGGCAAAUCAUCAAGGAUGGAUGGGCAGACUGCGAAGGAGAAGUGGUAAGGUCUGAAGACAUACAACUUGAACAGAACUAUCCUGAGAAGACCGUAGCACCGAGUCAAGUUUGGGGAGAGAAGAUAGUUAUACACGAAGAGGAGGCGCCGCCGGAACCACCGACUACGCCAUCCAGCGAGUCCCAGGAUGACUGAGAAAACGGUGAGUCCCGUUCAGAGGACAUAAAAACACCAAACGCCUCACCGAAAGGUAAAAUCGGUAGUUAUCCAUAUUUAUCCUUUCUGUAUUCCCUUUUUCCUUAAAUUAUUUACUUUCCUUAAAUGGCUUGUUAGUUAUUCGUGCUAUCUUGAAAAGAAAAUAAAAAUGUUAAAAAUAGUAAGCCCCAUGUGAGUAUGCUCGUGGCAUAAAAUCCAUAAGUACAUUCACUAUGGUGGCGUAAAAAUAAAUAUAUUCCUGUCCUAUAGAAAUGAAAAUAUAAAAAUAAAUUUAUGAUCCUACCAAAGAGAGUAAUAUUUAUUAGAGGAGGCUCAACAUGAUAAAGGCUAGAUAUUUAUAGUAACACUUAACUAGUUCCACAAAGCUUUGUUGUCUAUUUGAGCUCCACAGAAUUCAAGGAUCAAAGAAGACUAGCAGACGGAGGACAUCCUAAUCGCCGUCAGGGUGCUGCCGACAUUCAAAUACACCUCUGCCACCUGCUAGCUACAUCAGAAGGAAUUACGUCAAAAUCUAGCUUGGGGGAGAGCACCCCCAUUUAUCUAGCUAAGUGUUCUACUCAUGUUUAUACUUUACUCAAAUAAUAAAAAGAUGCAUAAUCAUAAAAACCCAAAUAAAGAUUUUGUGCUUAUAUAUAUAUAUCUUUGCUUAGUUUGCUAAAUAAGUAAAUAAAUAAAGUUUGCUAUGAACCCUCAUGAUAAGCUCUCACAUGGAAAUGAUGAAUAGUUGCUAUGCCAUGACUAGUUCUCAAAAUUGAAAUCUCUCUCAAGUUUAGGCAUGAUUGUUAUUAAUAAAGAUUUGCUCUAAACCUGAACUUGUGGGAAGAGUACUUGAUCUAAAGUCUAAGUCGUUAACGGAUAUGAUAUGUAAAGGUGGAGUGUCGACGAAAGCUAGUCGGCAGUCUACCUUGGGGUAUACCCACGGUAGUAGUUUAUCGGUAGACGGUGCGCAAACUACGAACUCGAUGGUGACGCAAGACACGGACAAGCUUUUUAUCCAGGCUCGGCCGCCAAGUUGGCGUAAUACCUACGUCCUGCGUCUGAUUGUAUUGGAUUGAGAGAAUAAUAUGUCCUAGGGGGGUCCCUUGCCCCUCCUUAUAUAGUCCGGAGGGCAGGGUGACAGAUCUGGAAACUAAUCCUAGUCGGUUACAAUUGCCAUAGAUAGUUCGAUAUCAAUUCCUAUUCUAACCGACUAGAAUCCCGCUUGAUCUCCACGUCUUGUUUCCUUGCGCGAAACUCCAAACUGUCGGAUCAAGCCUUGAACUUGUCUCGUAAUGGGCCAAGCCUCCUUGCCCAAGUCUAGCCGUAAGGGUAUAGGGGUUUAUACCCCCACAGCUAGUCCCCGAGCACCAUGUAUUGUGAAGUAACACACCGUCUUGAGCUUCUUCGACCAAUGAAACUUUGACAUCUCUAAUCAGCAUGAAAAUUGCCCAGGCAAUUGCGAAGGUAUUUUGACCAAAUGUAAAUAUGUUUGAUCAACAUCGUCAUCGAAGAAGCUAAUUGUUCGAAGAAUGCAUGGUGCUCUUGAGAAAAAAUAUUUCUUUUCCGGUGAAGUGUGCCCACUUUACUUUUCUGAAAAGUACAGUUCCUCAAAAAAGCAAGCAUAUUCACCACAAGGUGAAGUGUGCCCACUUAGUCCCCGAGCCUGGUAGUAGGUGACGUAGGCACGUGGUGCCAGGGUCAAAAGAAAAUUCCUCAAAGUAUUUUUGAAUCUGAAAUGCAUCGCCAGAUGCAUCGUACCGAUGUAGUCCCCGAGCUUGCUGGAAGGCGAAGUAUGAGCCUUGUAGCAAGGUCUAAAAAAUUAAAAUUAUCCAGUCCUCUGGUGUACAAUGCUCGGAGAUCGAUACAGCCCACAGAUUCCCGAACUAAUAGACUAGACAACCAGUCCCCGAGCAUCAAGCGCUCGGUGGUCGGUGCAGUCUCAACAGAUUUGACGACCAGUCCCCGAGCAUCAAGUGCUCGGUUGUCUGUGCAUUCCUUGAAAUUCCAGACUGAUAGACUGGGCGACCAGUCCCCGAGCAUCAAGUGCUCGGUGGUCGGUGCAGUUCCAACAUAUUUGACGACCAGUCCCAGAGCAUCAAGCGCUCGGUGGUCGGUACAUUCCUUGAAAUUCCGGAUUGAUAGACUGGGCGACCAGUCCCCGAGCAUCAAGUGCUCAGUGGUCGGUGCAGUUCCAACAUAUUUGACGACCAGUCCCCGAGCAUCAAGCGCUCGGUGGUCGGUACAUUCCUUGAAAUUCCGGAUUGAUAGACUGGGCGACCAGUCCCCGAGCAUCAAGUGCUCGGUGGUCGGUGCAGUCCCCGGAUUGUUGACUCUCUACCAUUUUUGUCUCCUUGUUUGGAAAAAAAAUUUUACCACAUAAAAGUUGACGUGACGAGACCUCCUGACGGGAUGUCAGAUGGCUGCAUGAAAAGUUGCGCCUAGCAACUGUACAGCCGCCCUUUGCGUGGUUUGAAAAAAGGAAACCAUCAAUUUGUACGAAUACUCCGCCGCAUUAAUUGUCGAUAAUCAUUGAAAACCGAAGCGCCGCGCCCGCUGUAUGGCCCGCCCACUUCCCGAGAAUGCGGGAAGUGGGACGGGUGGAGUUGCAGUUUAUAAAAUCCUGACAUUAACCCCUCAUUGCUUACCCUGCCAUUGCCUUCAAGCUUGCCGCUCUCGCCUUCUUUCAACCACCUGCGCCCUCCUAGUUCAAAGCCGCUCCCGCAUCUCCAAUGGUGAAGAGCGACUCCAAGAAGAGGGCCGAGCUUAUGGCCAAAGAAUGGAAGAAAUCCCGUAGCACCGCAAAGUCUCUGGGUGACCUCAUCGAUAUAGGGCUAUUGCACAGCCCGGAGCUCGGUGGCUGGAGGGCGCCGUAGGGGGAGAGCUACCCCGACCCCCGCACCGGUGAGAUCGUAGUGUGUUGGGUAUUUUAAACGCAAACAGAAAAAUCCGCAAGCGCACGGAUACCGAUGUAGGUUUCACCCGAGAGUAUUCCAGAGUAUCGAUUUUCCACAGAGAACGUGAGUGUACUAAUUAAGAUCCAAGAUCGCCCAAGGAUAACUAUAUAAUUAUUUUUGGUGGAAAGAGAGGAAGUUUCCUGAGAGUUCUCUAGUUGAUCUAAGAAUCAAGAAUUACUUCAAGAUUAUCUAUAUCGGGACAUCAGAGCACUAACCAUAGAAAGAGAUGAGAAGGGGGCUAGGAAGGUCUGACUACGGUCCUACAAACACCAAUCCGAACGAGGUGGAAUAUGUCGACCGUUAGGGUUGUCACUACCCUAAGGCUACCACAACAAUCCGCAGGAUUGGGUGCAAUUCCAGGUAAUUGCAAGACUAAACACCACGUCUAAUCUAUUAAUUACUACUCUAGCGUUAUAAAGACUAGAGCACUUGAUGCAAGCGGGAAUCCAAUAAAUAACUUGAAUGUAAAUAAAAGUAAUUAAAGAACUCAGGAAUUAUGAAUUGAAGAACCUGGAGAACGAUGAAGAACGAACCAGUUGCUGCAAAAGUAUAAUGUUGAGGAAGAUCUGACAGAUCCGGCUCCUCCGCUCUCCUCUUCUCUCUCCCUAUUUUCUAGAUUACAACUAGAACUAACUAGAACUAGAACUAGAAGAACUAGAACUAGAACUAGAUGAACUAGAACUAGAUCUAGAUGAACUAGAGGUAGAACUAGAAGAACUAGAGGGAUCCUCUCUACUUGGAUGAAGAAUUGAAACCCUAACUUUGAUUCUGUAGAAGAGGUAUGAUCUCCAGGGGCCAGGGGGUCUGGUUUUAUAGUCCCUUCAAGUGAAUCUGGGCCGUCGGAUCAAACCGACAUUGAUCGUGUGGUUUUCCUUGAAGUAUUAGGUCGGUGGAGCAUGAUCCUCGAACUUCACCCUGAUUGGUGGAAAUAGGUGGGCGGGCGCCCUCAGGACUAGGGCGGGUGCCCUGUCCCUGAGGCAUCUCGGCUUCCACUUCGGUCCCGUGGCUUCUGGAGUCUUCUAGAUGAUAGAAAAUUGCGCGGCACGUUAAUAUCUCUAUGUAAACCCGACGUGUGGGCCUUUCUUCCAUAUUUCCUGAUAACCCCCUGCAGAAAUACACAAACACCAAAACUCGUGGAAUUCUGUCAGAUAUAACCCUAAGUCUAGGUGUUGGUUCCGUUUAGAUCAUUUUCCAUGAUUAGUUGAUGGUUAAAUAUGAGCAUUAAGGACCGUCAACAAGCUCCCCCAAGCUUAACCUUUGCUCGUCCCUGAGCAAAGAUGAACUUAAGAGUUUCUGCAGUGGUUUCAUGCUUUUAAAGAUACACAUGCGUUUAAACAAGAUCUCAUCUCUGGUUAGAGUAAACUGUUAAGACUUAAAACUUACUCAUUUACCUUUCACCAUGGGACUUGUAACCGUCACUUCUGUCUUGAGUAGUUAAAAGAUAGAACGGUCUAAUCAAGCACAAUGUCUCUUAUUCUUGAUCAGCUAUAGCUCUGGAGUUUUUGCAGAUUUUCAAAUAAAACUCAGAGAUUCCUUGUAUGACUCUCUCUAGUCUCUCUUUUGAGGUAUUUCUGGAUCCUUACCAAGACAGUGAUGGUAUAAGCCUUCUCUCAAAGUAUGUGGUAUUUGUGGUAUAAGGCAUAGUGGCAUUGCCUUCUCUCUCACCCUACUCUAAUAAGGCUUUUGAUAUCUGGAGCUCAUAGGUGGGAGACAGCUAAUACAUACUUACAAGACAUUUAUUGCAUAGUCAAACCAUGGAUCCAGAAGAACAAGUCAAUAAGGCAAAUCAAGAUGUGCAUGUGUGGCGAAUGAAUGGUGGUAACAAUGGUGAAAGUCUAAUUCUACUUGUGCUCUUUUGAGGGAUACAUACCUUUCUUGCUCUUUUGAAACUUUUUGAGGAGAAUGAGAUGCUCUAUAUUUUCUUUUUCUCUCACGUGGGUAUCUUGUACCCCUAAUUCUACUGUCGGACACUUGUCCAUUUUUACCUCUCGUCUCACUUUUUCUUUCUCUCGAGGUUCCGGGCACUUGCCCCUUUUUAUUUCCUCGUAUCUCUUUUUUUUCUCUCUUUCUUUUCUUUUUUAGAGCACUCAUCUCCUGAAAUAAUAUAGCAAGUGGUAGUAACCAAGAUAACUUGAGCAUUUAUUUCACAGGGAAAAACAGAAAUAGGAGAACGUUUUUGGCUAUUCUCUCCCAGAUUAGGAGUAGAAUAUUUUUGGGUGGUUCUGGAGAUGGAAAUGGAUGGAUAUAUGUGGAUGGUACUUCUGGAGUAGAAGUAGCAUGUGUGAGUGAACGUGCAAGUGAAUCUUGAUUUAACCACAUGACAAGCUCCUAAGGGUCUACACAGCUUGACCACACUCAAUGCUCAUAAGCAGUAAAAAGUAAAUGUGUGGCUCAAAGUCUAGCAAGCAUGUAUAUAUGGCUGUGGUAGGAAUUUAAACUCUCAUCAUACAGGAACUCAUCAUGCAAGAUGUUAAAGAUUUUCAAAGAUAAAAUUCUCCAGAAUUCUAGCAUCUCUAGGAACAGAUAAACAGUAGCUCAACCUUCCCAUAUCGUAUCCGUUAACGACUUAGACUUUAGAUCAAGUACUCUCCCCACAAGUUCAGGUUUAGAGCAAAUCUUAAUUAAUACCAGUCAUGCCUAAACUUGAGAGAGAUUUCAAUUUUUAGAACUAAUCAUAGCAGAGCAACUAUUCAUCAUUUCCAUGUGAGAGCUUAUCAUGAGGGUUCAUAGCAAACUUUAUUUAUUUAUUUAUUUAGCAAACUAAGCAAAGAUAUAUAUAUAAGCAUAUUAGAGUAAAGUAUAAACGUGCGUAGAAUACUUAGCUGGAUAAAUGGAGGCGCUCUCCCCCAAGCUGGAUUUUGAUGCAAUUUCUUCUAAUGUAGCUAGCAGGUGCUGGAGGUGUAUUUGAAUGUCGGCAGCACUCUGACAGCGAUUAGGAUAUCCUCCGUCUGCUAGACUUCUUUGAUCCUUGAAUUCUGUGGAGCUCAAAUAGACAACAAAGCUUUGUGGAACUAGUUAAGUGUUAGCAUAAAAACUCUUAGCCGUUAUCAUGUUGAGCUUCCUCUAAUAAAUUUUACUCUCUUUGGUAGGAUCAUAAAUCUAUUUUUAUAAUUUUAUUUUUAUAGGACAGGAAUAUAUUUACUUUAUUUUUAUGCCACCACAGUGAAUGUACUUAUGGGUUUUAUGCCAUGAGCAUACUCACAUGGGGCUUACUUAACAUUUUUAUUUUCUUUUCAAGAUGAUAUGAACCUGAUUAACUAAGCAAACUAUUUUAAAAUAAUUGAAAGGAAAAAGAUAACUACCAAGUUUACCUCUUGGCAAGACGUUCGGUGUUUUUAAGUCCUCCGAACGGGACUCUCCAUUUUCUCAGUCGUCCUGGAAUUCGGUGGAUGGCGUAGUCGGUGGUUCCGGCGGUGCCUCCUCUUCAUGUAUAACUAUCUUCUCUCUGCACACCUGACUCGUGCUACGGUCUCCUCAGGACAGUUCUGUUCAAGUUGUAUGUCUUUAGACCUUACGACUUCUCCUUCAUAGUCUGCCCAUCCGUCCUUGAUGAUUUGCCUCCUCUGGUUGCGGUUGCGUCGUCUUCUUCUUGCCCUGACCUGCUUAGAGUCAUCAGCUAUAUAGUUAGGGUCAGUAAAAUAGCGGCGUACCUUCUCAGAGGGGAAGUGCAUGUGGACUUCUCCGGUUCCAAUGUAGAUGAUUGCUUUAACAGUGCUGAGGAACGGUCUUCCAAGGAUGAUGGGUGGAUCGUACUUGUCUUCUCCCAUGUUAGUAACCUUAAAAUCAUCUGGAGCUGAAUGUAUGUUGGUUGUAGGGACAUGGUUCCGUGCAGGAGCUGAUAAGUGACUGCGGCCAUUAUGUUGACGUUAGAUCCGGUGUCGUACAGUGUCUUCUGAAAAGAAUAUCCGUUGAUUGUGCACUCGAUGCUUGGAACACCAGGGUCAUCCUUCUUGAUCAAGAAAGGUGACUUGAGUUGACGAUCUUGACCUCCUUGAGCUGCAGUGACCAUCUUAGCUGACUUGGUCCACAUUUGCUUGUUGCUGUUCCUCCUGUUGGUCCUUCCUUGGUUCAUGUUAGGAUUGCUCUGAGAUUUGUGUAGUCUUGUUCUUGAAGGAAAAUGUCUCCUUCGUCCCCUUGAUGUAGAAACUGAUCUUGGCAGCACUAGCGUAGAUGACAGCUCCCGAGGUGUUCAGGAAUGGCCUCCCUAGGAUGAUGGGUGCCCUCUCAUCAGUAUCAGUCUCUAUCACCAUGAAGUCUGCUGGAGCGUAUAAGGUACCAACUCGGACGUAGAGGUUCUUCAAUAUUCCCUUUGGGAAACUUAGUGUCUGAUCUGCAAGCUGCAAACACAUGGUUGUUUCAAGGAAAGCAUGUGUAAAGAAUUUUUCAUAGAGUACCCUGAGCAUAAUGUUGACGCUGGAGCCAAAGUUGCAGAGUGCUUCUAGGAAGUCCACCAUGCCGAUGGAGAUCGGGAUGACGAGACGUCCUAGAUUUUAUCUCUGGACCGGCAGAAGGUCAGUAAUUACUUCCACAACGGGGUUACUCCAGUAGUUACGUCCUCAAGCAUCUCAGGGCAGUGAUUGCAUGAGUGUCCAGUAUCUCCAGUGUGUUUGUGCUCGUAGAUCUAGAUUCUUCACUUGGUGGAGUCUGGGAGUUGUAAAAGUCCUUCAUAUUUUGCUCGAAGUGUACCUGCUCAUAGAGACAAGGCAAAGAUCAAGUGCAUGGGCCCUGUUGGUGGAAAACACCAACAGAACCAAAAGUGUAUUUGUUCUCUCUAACCUUAAGCAUAGUGAGAAAGACAAAGUUGAUGGAUAAUAAGACCAUGAAAGUAACAUUUAAAACAUUAGUCAUCUCAACGUUAUGGAAAGAUAAUCUAUCUAUAUUUGUGGUUUUUUUAUAUAUAUAUCUUCCAAAGAUUGAGUGUGCACAUUUUAGUUCAUAUGAUUAGGAGUGUGGGAUCACAAAGGUGGAAGGAUUAAACAUGUUGAAUCGAUUGGAUUGGUUAAUCUAAAGUUGUAAAUCAUACAUGUUUGUCUCUUUUAUUCAUGUGAACGCCAGAACCAAGGAGAAGCUUAUAAAAAGUGAUAGUCAAGUACCUUAAAAUGUUACCUUACUUGAAGAGUGAUGGUACAGUAUCACCUUGUGGAAGCUUUCCUUUCUUAGUGGUUGUGCAUCGUGUUUGUGGCACCCUCUAUGGAUCAUCUCUUGUGAGCUAUGCCUUCCUUGUGUAACUUGUUAAACAUCAUGUGUCUCUCUUUUUGUCUCCAAUGUGAGUUUAUCUCAGGACCUCCCAGGUCGAGAUUGAAAGUUUUUCUGCAGGGCUUAGUCCAACAAAAUAUCCAAUAUCUACUAUAGCAUACUAUCGGCUCAAAGAUCAACCUAGACACCAUGUCUAAUUUGAUUUAGGAGGGCAUUUUAACCUAAGCUUCAUGCUUAAUUUAAAAUCCCUUGGAAAUAAGAUCACCAUUCCUAAACUAAGCACCAUGCUUAAUUAAGAGAUAAAUGAAACUACUCUAAACCUAGACAUAUACUAAAGAAAAUAAAGGUAGCAUGAGAGCAUUUCUAGAGAUCUACUCAAGUGGAGAUAAAGUAGUGUGAUUAGUUUUUAACAAAUUGAGCAUGUCUCAAAGGUAGGGUGAACCAACAUAGCAACAUGGCAAAGGAUGUUUUUAUGUAAAGUACUCCCCCAAGCUUGAAUUUUGCAAAAUUCAAGUUUGGAUGAGUUUAAUUCAAUGUUGUGUGAUGAUUGGUUGGACAUACCUUGUGCUUGUCAUUCAUCCGAUCUUCUUGCUCCAAUCCUGGAAAGGUUAGUGACAAGAAUACCCGAAGGAAUGUUUUUACAAUUAUCCUUAUAUGCUCGACACACAAGGUAAUGUUGCAAAUAAUUAGAAGCUCAUGUUACGAUCUGAUCAGUGCUUGUUUUAGGACACUAAGCUUGUCCUUGGGAAACCAUCAAUUUAUGUUGGUGAAGUUGUUUCCUCUCCAACACCAACCUAUAUCAAGAUCAACUCAACGAAAUCUGCAAAAUUUAUUAUAGACAUAUGCAUCGACAACCGCCCUUUUAAAGUUUUUAUAAAUAGACAGGAUGAGGGGGUUGGAGAUCUCGAAUAUGGUGAUGUUGGAAAAACCAAUGGAUUCGUAAGAUGUUGCAUAUGAGCAUGGAGUAAAUGAAGUGGCUAUGAAAUAAAUUCCAUGCUCAUUAAUGCUUAGAGUGAAAUCCAUGUGGUGUGGUGAAAAUGGUAAGGUGAGUGUGGUAAAAAAGGAAAAGAAAAAAGGAUACACGGACGACUUGGUUCGAAACUAGCACAGCUACCGUUCCCCGGCAACGGCGCCAGAAAGCUUGUUGGGUAUUUUAAACGCAAACAGAAAAAUCCGCAAGCGCACGGAUACCGAUGUAGCUUUCACCCGGGAGUAUUCCAGAGUAUCGAUUUUCCACAGAGAACGUGAGUGUACUAAUUAAGAUCCAAGAUCGCCCAAGGAUAACUAUAUAAUUAUUUUUGGUGGGAAGAGAGGAAGUUUCCUGAGAGUUCUCUAGUUGAUCUAAGAAUCAAGAAUUACUUCAAGAUUAUCUAUAUCGGGACAUCAGAGCACUAACCACAGAAAGAGAUGAGAAGGGGGCUAGGAAGGUCUGACUACGGUCCUCCAAACACCAAUCCGAACGAGGUGGAAUAUGUCGACCGUUAGGGCUGUCACUACCCUAAGGCUACCACAACAAUCCGCAGGAUUGGGUGCAAUUCCAGGUAAUUGCAAGACUAAACACUACGUCUAAUCUAUUAAUUACUACUCUAGCGUUAUAAAGACUAGAGCACUUGAUGCAAGCGGGAAUCCAAUAAAUAACUUAAAUGUAAAUAAAAGUAAUUAAAGAACUCAGGAAUUAUGAAUUGAAGAACCUGGAGAACGAUGAAGAACGAACCAGUUGCUGCAAAAGUAUAAUGUUGAGGAAGAUCUGACAGAUUCGGCUCCUCCUCCGCUCUCCUCUUCUCUCUCCCUAUUUUCUAGAUUACAACUAGAACUAACUAGAACUAGAACUAGAAGAACUAGAACUAGAACUAGAUGAACUAGAACUAGAUCUAGAUGAACUAGAGGUAGAACUAGAAGAACUAGAGGGAUCCUCUCUACUUGGAUGAAGAAUUGAAACCCUAACUUUGAUUCUAUAGAAGAGGUAUGAUCUCCAGGGGCCAGGGGGGUCUGGUUUUAUAGUCCCUUCAAGUGAAUCUGGGCCGUCGGAUCAAACCGACAUUGAUCGUGUGGUUUUCCUUGAAGUAUUAGGUCGGUGGAGCAUGAUCCUCGAACUUCACCCUGAUUGGUGGAAAGAGGUGGGCGGGCGCCCUCAAGACUAUGGCAGGCGCCCUGUCCCUGAGGCCUCUCGGCUUCCGCUUCGGUCCCGUGGCUUCUGGAGUCUUCUAGAUGAUAGAAAAUUGCGCGGCACGUUAAUAUCUCUAUGUAAACCCGACGUGUGGGCCUUUCUUCCAUAUUUCCUGAUAACCCCCUGUAGAAAUACACAAACACCAAAACUCGUGGAAUUCUGUCAGAUAUAACCCUAAGUCUAGGUGUUGGUUCCAUUUGGAUCAUUUUCCAUGAUUAGUUGAUGGUUAAAUAUGAGCAUUAAGGACCGUCAACAUUGUGUUCGAGGAUUUCCUUAAGAGGGGUUUUGGGGUGCUUGUUCAUCCUUUUCUUCAGGGUCUUCUUUUGUAUUAUGAGAUCGGGAUUUGCAAUCUGCACCCGAACUCAAUCCUUCUUAUUUCCACUUUUAUCCAUUUGUGCGAGGCCUAUGUCGGCAUAGAACCGCACUUCGAUCUCUUUCGCUAUCUUUUUUGUUUAAGAAAGAAGGGAGCGGUUGGAGGCUCCAAGGUUGCAGGUGGAGUAUACCUCAACCUUCAUGACGGGAUGAAGAACCGUUACCUGCACUGUCCAUGGAACACUUCCCUAACAGAAUGGUAUAGGAAGUGGUUCUACAUCAGAGAAGAACCGGGCAGCUCCACGUUCUGUGACGUGGGUUACAUCCCCGAGAAGAGGGCAAGCUGGACCGAUCGCUCAGAGUUCGACGGUCAAGUGGUGGACCUGAUGAAGCUGAUCGACUGGUCGCGCUUGGACGGGCUAGGUGUGGUCGGCAACUUUGUGUGUCAUCGGAUGAUGCCCUGCCAGAAGAGGGUGCACUCGGCGUACGAGUAUGCCAGAAGCAUGGAUCCGACCAGGAUGCGUCCUGAGGUCUUGGAGAAGUCAGAGGUGCAGUAGCUGUUGAACGAGCUGUUCAACUUUGCAGACGGAGGCUUCGUCCGUGGUACUGAUCGGGUGCAAGCCUUCAAGUUAGGGCGACCAGCACCUAAGGUAUCUUACUGAUUAUUUCUCUUUAGCAUUCGUUAUUGUCUGCUGCUAACUUAUCUUUGUUACUUUUGCAGAUCGGAGAUGUUGACCGGUGCACGGUAUAUGUGUCACUGGCACCUGGAAUAGAGAAUCCUGCGGGGGAAGAUCCGCCGGAGGAAGACGCUGCUCGGUGUACUCAUUACACCAGCAGUGUGGAGGACCAGGCCCGCCCCGUCCCGACCACCGAGGAGAGAGUGGCAGAGAAAAGGCGAAUGGCAGCGGAUCUCGCGCCUGCGCCGACGCUGCCAGCAGAGAGCAGCCGAGCGCCAAAGCGCCGUCGGCUCGUCCGGAUCACCGACGACGAGGAGGAGGAGGAGGCGGCACCGUCGCUGGUCCGAGAGCCUCGAAGCCGUCUGGACAGUGCACCGGCCACUAGUGAUCGGGUGGCCAGCGACCCUCCUGCGCCGUGCGUCGCCGAGACGGGGGCGCAGUUGCCGACCGGCAGAGCUAGGAGGAGGUUCACCGCGACCCACCGUCGAUCAGACCUGUAUGUGUUCGACUUACGUACCUUGGUGAAUUUUUUUUUUGAAGAUGAUACUUUUCUCUUUAGCGUGGCGUCGGAUGUCAACCCCGACCACGUCGCCGGCCAGGGGAUGGCCGAGCCUGCUUGUGCCGCUGAGGACGCGGCGCCGCAGACCGCGGGGCAGCCUGCGGCUGCAGCCGUGCCUGAGAGCGCCGAGGAGCUCCCGGCCUUGGCACAGACUGUGGCGAGCAGCCCGACAAGGGUCGAGGAGGCUACGGGGAUGCCUCCCCCGAGUGACGCCACAGAAGGGGAGGACAGAGCCCCGACCCCUCCCCCCGUCGAAGGGAGGGAGGUCCCAAUGCCGCCCCGGGCAGGAGCCUCUUCGGCUGCAGGCUCCCCGGGCCCGGUCCAGGGGCCGGUAAUGCCUGUGACCACCACCGGGGGCGAUGCAGCGGGCGAGGGAACCCGGGCGGCCUCCGACGACGAGGUGGAGGAAAUUGAAGGUCGUCCUCGUGAUGGCCGCCAACACGUAUAUGUGUGGCGCCAACGCGGGGACCACUUUAUCGGGCACGAGGAGCUCACUGAAACAGAAGAGGCCGCCAGAGUAGAGCGCGCGGCCAAGCGUCUCGUGGACGAGGUCAAGGUAAGCGAUCCUUUUCACUGUUCGACACUGUUUGUGUUAUCUUGCUUGGUCAACAUAUGUUCGUUUUGUAGGGCGCAAUGAAAACGGCGAAGAACUGGAAAAGGUGCUUCGACCAAAUAGAAGGCAUCGUGGCCGAGAACAAGGCUCUGACCGCGGAGGUGGACCGGCUGCGGUCGGAGGUUGGGGAGAAGGUGGCUGAGAUGAGCGCCCAGGAGGAGCGUCGUCUUGAGCUCACUCGUCGCUUGGCCAACCAGUAUCGGCGGCGGUCAGGUCAGUCACGUGCUCCGAGCAGCUGUGUGUAGCCGCGUAGUUUGCUUUGCUGACCAGAUUAUGGUUCACGUAGACUUGGAGGAGGAGGUGGCGCGCCUCCGACAGGAGAAGGAGCAGCUCGGUCAAGAGCUUGCCGGGGCGCUGGAGGCCAGUCGCCGAGCACGGGAGGAGCUGGGCCAGAGGGACCGGGAGUUGUCAGGUAUCACGCGCCGCCCCCAUUAUUCGCCGCUUAUCGCUCUUUUUGAUACGCUGAGUCUAACAUCUUCCUCUUUUUGCAGUGCUCAAGGUGAACGCCAAGAAGCACCUGGACGAGCUGGUCAAGGAUCGGGACUCCUGGAAGGUUAACUGUUGUAGGAUUUGGAAAGGAGUGGCCCCGGUCCUGGACUUGAUCAGUCCCGAGCUCCCGGAGAGCCAGCCCCGCGCGCCAAGAUUGACGCCAGUUGAAAAGGCGCAACGGGCGUGGGACUGGCUCCAGCAGUUCAUGAAGGAUGCCGGGGUGUUUGCUGGCGCGCAUAUCCUUAGCAUGGUGCGCGCCCACUACCCCCUGGUCGACUUGACCAGGCUGGAGAAGGGGUAUCCCAAGGAGGUCGGCCCGCAGGAGGCGGACGAGCUUCGGGGUGGUCUGCUGGACUUGUCGUCGACGGUGAUCGGCGACAUCAAUCUAUGCGGGACGGCCAUCCCCCUGAUCAGCCGGGUUCAGACAGGUCGGCCAGGGAGUUGUCGGGGGCGUCCAUUGCCGGAGAUGGGCGGUCGACGCCUGCGAUCUCGACCAGCCAGGCGCCGGUGGCCCCGACCCCUUCGUCCGGGCAGCAAGGCCAAGCGGGUGAUCAGCCCGAGCAGUAGGCCAGUAGAGUAGUCUGUAGGAGUAGACUAGUGACCGCCCGUCAGGGUAUUUAUUGUAAACUUUGUAUGUAAAGUUUGUAAUAAAGUUUGCUUUUGUCAUGACUGUUAUUUUGAGCGCUGUGAAGUUAUCUGAGUGACGUGUCACUGUGUUUGAUUCAUGGUCGUUACGAGUUUCCGUCGCAGAGGACAAUGUUGCUCUUCGCCGAAAGCUCUGCGUGUAAACAAAGUAUAGCCAAAAAGAAAAAACUUUUAUUAUUGCCAACUAUAAGAGACUUACAAGCAAAAGUUACUGAAACUUAUGGAUAAAAUCGGUGCAGUUUGUCUAUGUGCCAAGAGUUAGGCACGCGUGUUCCGUCUGGAUAUGCCAAUCUGUAGGAUGUAGGUCGUGUGACUUCAGCGACCACAAAGGGUCCUUCCCAGGGAGUGGAUAGCUUAUGCAUUCCUUCCUGGCUUGUUUUCCACCUGAGUACCAGAUCGCCGACCACGAAGGAACGGUCCUUAACGUUCCUGUUGUGGUAUCGUUUGAUUGCCGCAAGGUACUUUGCUGUUCGAAGGCAUGAAUUUAGACGCUUUUCUUCCAUGCAGUUGAUUUCGAGUUCCCUGGUGUUGUCGGCCGCUGACUGGUCGAAGUUUUCAAUCCUUGGAGAUCCGAAGGUUAUAUCAGAUGGCAGCAUUGCCUCGGUGCCGUAAACCAUGAAGUAGGGUGACACCCCGGUAUUCCGACUAGCCUGUGCUCGGAGACCCCAGACCACGGCCGGCAACUCUUUCAUCCAUCGACCAGGUGCUCGGUCAUUCUCGGUGUACAACCUUUUCUUUAGGGCGUCGAUGAUCAUUCCGUUUGCACGUUCAACUUGGCCAUUUGCCCGUGGGUGAGCUACUGACACGUAUUUUAUGACUAUGCCUCUGUCAUCGCAGAAGUCCCAAAAUGUGGUGCCAGUGAACUGAGUACCCAGGUCGGUGAUUAUACUGUUUGGGAUCCCGAAUCUGUGUAUGAUUUGACUGAGGAACUCCACGGCCUUCUCGGAGGUUGCUUUGACCAGUGGCAUGUAUUCAAUCCACUUCGAAAACUUGUCGAUUAAUACGAAGACGAACUUGAAGUUACCAGGGGCCGGUUUAAAUGGCCCGAUCAUGUCGAGCCCCCAGCAGGCGAAAGGCCAGGACGACGUGAUAGUUUGAAUCUCGUGAGCAGGUACGUGGGUCCUUUUAGCGAAGAACUGACAUCCCUCACAGUGUCGGACCAGUUUUUCUGCGUCGUUGACCGCGGUUGGCCAAUAAAAACCUGCCUGGAAAGCUUUUCCGACCAACGUUCUGGAGGCGGCAUGAUUGCCGCAGGAUACGGCAUGUAUGUCGUCUAGGAGCUUGAUGCCAUCAUCCUGGGAUAUGCAUUUGAGCAGCACUUCAGAACUUGCAUUUUUUCGCAUAAGUUUGCCGUCCACCAGUAUGUAAUUCUUUGAUCGUCGAAUGAGGCGCUCGUUCUCUAUUUUAUCCUGAAAGCCCGACCCGUCCGAUAUAUAUCCGAUGAAUGGGGUGCGCCAAUCGCUGUUACUGGUUGUCGGAGUAACGUCGUCUAUGAGCAUUGCCUCAAUAGGCUGCUUUUCGGGCGGGUCUUUGCCCACACUUGGCUCGUGGAUGCCCUGGACGAAAACACCUCGCGGGAUCUGGGCCCGAGAUGACCCUAACUUUGACAACGCAUCUGCUGCCUGGUUCUUAUCCCGGACCACGUGGAUGUACUCUAUGCCAUAGAAGUUGGUUUCCCAUUUGCGAAUUUCUUUGCAGUAGAGAUCCAUCUUCUCGUGGGUUGCGUCCCAUUCCUUGUUGAGCUGGUUGAUAACUAAAGCGGAGUCGCCAUAGACAUAAAGGCGUUUGACUCCCAACUCAACGGCUAAUCGUAUCCCAUGAAGGCAUGCUUCGUAUUCGGCGACAUUGUUUGAUGCCAGAAAAAGGAUCCUAAGGACGUAACGCAGUUUGUCCUUGUUAGGCGACACGAAAAGAAUCCCCGCGCCAGCGCCGUUGAUGUUCAAGGACCCGUCGAAGAACAUCGACCAGUGGUCAGAGACGUCGCGAACGGGAGGCUCGUUAAGAUCCGUCCACUCUACAAUGAAAUCGACCAUGGCCUGAGACUUGACUGUGGUGUGGCUCUGGAAUUCCAGGGAGAAUGGGCAUAAUUCCAUUGCCCAUUUUACAAUUCUGCCGUUGGCGUCUUUAUUGCGCAGAAUGUCCGCAAGAGGGAAACUGGUGGUUACCAAGACUCGAUGGCCGUCGAAGUAGUGCUUUAGCUUUCUCAAUGUUAUUAAAAUGGUGUAUAUGAGCUUCUGUAUUUAUGGAUAUCUGGCCUUGGACUCAUUUAGGACUUCGCUUAUGAAGUAAACGGGUCUCUGGACCUUGUAGACAUGACCUGGCUCGUCUCGCUCAACCACUAUUGCCGUGGAAACAACCCUGUCGGUUGCAGCAAUGUAAAGGAGUAGGUCUUCAUUGGGCUGAGGCGCCGUAAGAACAGGUGGUGAAGUGAGGAAAGUCUUAAGCUGGGUGAACGCAGCGUCGGCUUAUUCUGUCCAAGAAAAUUUUUCCGACGCCUUCAAGAGUUUGAAGAAAGGGAGGCCUUUUUCUCCUAGUCUUGUGAUGAAGCGGCUGAGUGCGGCCAUACAUCCGGUGAGCUUUUGAAUAUCCUUGACAUUUUUAGGUGGUCGCAUGUCGAGUACUGCUUUUACUUUUGAAGGAUUCGGGCGUAUGCCGUCGCGGCUGACGACGUUGCCGAGUAGUAGACCGGAAGGGACGCCGAAGAUGCACUUUUUGGGGUUAAGCUUCCACUUGUACCUGUUUAGCGCCUUAAAGGUUCGGUCUAAGUUGUCAAUUAGGGUGCUUGCAUCCCUUGUUUUGACGAAGAUGUCGUCUACAUAGGCCUCGACGAGGUCAUCACGAAUCUCGUCGUGGAGGCAUUGCUGGAUGGCCCUUUGAUAGGUGGCUCCGGCGUUUUUGAGUCCGAACGACAUGGUCGUGUAGCAGUAUGCGCCGAAAGGAGUAAUGAAAGACGUUUUUAUCUGAUCGUCUUCCUUUAGUGAGAUCUGGUGAUAACCAGAGUAGCAGUCUAGAAAAGAGAAGAGUUCGCAUCCGGCCGUUGAGUCGACCACCUCGUCGAUGCGAGGGAGACCAAAAGGAUCUUUAGGACAGUGUUUAUUGAGAUCAGUGUAAUCAACGCACAUUCUCCAUUCAUUAUUCUUUUAUGAAUCCGGCUGCUAGAAGCCGUGUUAUUUCUGUCCUAAUAGCCUCCUUUUUGUCAUGAGCGAACCGUCACAGCUUUUGCUUGAUUGGUCUUGCGGUCUUCGAGACAUUUAUGGAGUGCUCGAUCAGGUUUCGUGGGACGCCGGGCAUGUCUGCGGGUUUCCAUGCGAAAAUGCUCACGUUGUCCCUUAGAAACCUGACGAGCGCGUCUUCCUAUUUGGGGUCCAGAUUGGCCCCGAUGAGGGCCGUCUUCUCGAGGCUGCCGUCGACCAGUUGUACUUCUUUAUACUCUUUGGAUUUUGAAUUCUUCCUGGCGGUCUCCUGCUCGGGUAGUCGGAGCUGGUCGGGAGGUAGCUGUGCGGCUUGGGUUGCUGUUUCUGCCAUCCGGAUUGAGAGGUCAAUUGCUUCGGUGAUCUUGAAGCUCUCUUCCUCGCAAGUAUAUGCAGUGUAGACAUUGCCUCUGAUGGUCAGGACGCCCUUCUUAGUAGGCAUUUUGAGGACCAGGUAUGAGUAAUGUGGGACCGCCAUAAAUUUUGUCAGCGAUGGUCGGCCCAGUAUAGCGUGGUAGGUCCCAUCGAAGUCGGCGACCACAAAGUUGACGAACUCUGUCCAAAAGUGGUCGGGCGUGCCGAAUUGGACAGGCAACGUUAUCUGUCCGAGAGGUACUGAACUCUGACCUGGCAAGACUCCCCAAAAUUGAGCGUCGUAGGGUUUUAAUUGUGCUGGAGAUAUCUUGAGAGCGGGCAAGCUGUUGCAGAAGAGGAUGUCAAUGGAGCUUCCUCCGUCCACGAGCACGCGCUCGAAUCUGAUGCUGUUAAUGCAAGGGUCCAAGAUUAGAGGAAAACGACCCGGUUCCGGGAUUGCGGCCCACUGAUCCUUUCAGCUGAAGGAGAUUUCCCUGUGCGACCAGGGAGGAAAUUUUGGAUCGGCGAUCAGACCAUCAGUGCUGUCUAUGUUGAGGCAGGCUCUCUUUAGGAGCUUUCUUUCUCGUUUAGACUCGAUGGAGACCUUGCCUCCGAAGAUGGAAUGGACCACGUCAGUAGGACUGACAUACUGGUGUCGUGGGUCCCUAUCCUUGUCUUCGUCCUCGUCUUCGUGCUCGCGCCCAUCUUGUUUCCCGUUUUUCUUGGAGGGAUCGUCUUGAGCAGCCCACCGCGUAUAGAUGCUUUUGAGGACGCGGCAUUCUUCUAUGGUGUGGUUGGAUUUGGGAUGUAGUUGGCACGGUCCCUUCAACGUCUUGUUGUAGUCCUCUUGGUAAUCCCGCCGUCCAUUAGGGCGCUUGACCGUAUUAACCUCGUGGUCGUGAUCGCGAGGGCGCUUGCCUCUGAAAUCGUCGCGGUUGUAGCGGCGCCUGUCCCAGCCCUCUCUGUGGUCCCGGUGAUCGGGGCGGCGAUGGUUUCUGUUGUCGAAGCGGCCGCGACUAUCGUCACGCCGAGAAGGCUGGUCGGGACUUCUGGUGUCAUCUCGGAUGAGUUUUUCUGCGUCAUCAGCGUCGGCAUAAUUUUUGGCCGUGGCGAGGAGCUCUGUCAUCGUUGUUGGCCUUUUGCGGAGUAGCUUGUUCCUCAGUGCUUCAUGGAAGCGCAGCCCCUUGAUGAAAGCAGAUAUAGCCUCGUCGUGGGAAAUCUUUGGGAUCUUUAGGCGCAUAUCCGAGAAUCGUCGGAUGUAGUCGCGCAGAGGCUCAUUUUUCUUAUCUCGUAUCCUUCCGAGGUCGUACUUGUUCCCAGGCUGCUCGCAGGUGGCGAUGAAGUUGUCGAUGAAGGCUUGGCGUAGUUCUUCCCAGGAGUCGAAGGAAUCCUCGGGCAGGCCUAGCAGCCAUUGUUGACCGGCCUGGUCGAGGACUACCGGAAAGUAGUUGGCCAUGACAUGCUCAUCUCCAGCUGCUGACCGGACCGCGAUCUCGUAAAGAGUAAUCCAGUUCUUUGGGUUUUCCUUGCCGUCGUAUUUUUUGAGUUUCUCGAGCUUGAAAUUGCGAGGCCACACGACCUGGCGGAGGUGUGAAGAGAAUUUCUUCAGGCCCGGGGGGCCGUGCGUUGCGUCGUACUCGAUACGACGCACGUUUUCGUGAACUGCCCUUUCCGUGGCGCGCCUGUUGAUGCGGUCCCGGGCGUCUUUGGGAGGGAUGUUGUAUCGGAGAUCCCUGUACUGGUUUACUUCUUGACCACGCCUGCGAUUCUGCUCGCGGUGACCGCCAGCAUCCCACCGCCAUCGUUACGUCGUGAAUCUUUCCGAUGAUCGUCGGGGGAACGGCUGUGGUGGUGCCUGCUGGGCUGCGGUGAGGUCCGGCUACGGUGAGUCUGGUCGGAGUUGGCCUCUGUAUAAGAGACGCCUUGGACUCUUUUGAGUAGAGUGGCUGUUUGCCCCAUCGCAGCGAUCAGGUGUGCUCGAACGCUGGUUCGGACGCCCUGGCACUCGGGAGUAUCAGGGAGCCGAUCUAAAUUGGCCAUGGCAACGGCCACAUUGGCGCUCGGCGUUUUAUAAACUUGCUGGUCUCCGACCAUGUCAAAAGCGUCGCUGAGAUUAUGCGGCGGGAUUUGACGUUCCUCGUCUGCGCGUCGUCGGGCGCGAUCGGCGUUACGCUGCUCGCGGAGCUGCUUCUGCUCGUCUGUUUCUCCAUCGACAACCGGCUCGUCGGCGCUGACGUUGAAAAUGAUGUCUCCUCGCCGGGGUGGGAAGACCGGGAAACGAGGAAAGCCCGGAGGAUGUGACGGCAAAUCCAAGUCGUAGUCCUCGUCCUCGGAAUUUAUGACUUCAGUGGGAACGGAACCAGUGCUCGAAUUUGUGCUGGAAGCCUGUCCGUCCCUUAGCUCUUGGACCGUCACCAUGUUGACGUAAUGACGAGCUGGUCGAUUGCUCCCCUUUGGCAACCAACCAGCAUUGUUAAAGAGGGAUCGAACAUGUCUCGAGUAGAGAGAGGCCGAGUUGUUCAGAUCGCAAGGAUAAUCUUCCUCCGGGUUGGCCUCGAUCUUGACGGAUCGUCCUAAGGGAGUUGAGGUUAUCGUCAGAGAUGUCCCCAGCCGUUCGUGUGUAACGACACGAGUUGGCCGGUGGGAGUUGGAAGAAUCCUCUAGAGCGGCUUGGUUAGGCUAGCGCGAGAUCCCAUCUAUCAGUUGAGAAGCUUCGAGUAGCUUGGAAUCAGCGCAAUCAAGUGCUUGGAGAAGGUCCGAGCAGUCGUUCUUCUUCCCCUUGUAGAGCGGGAGCGGUGGUCGGGCGCUCAAUGCCAUCAUCCGAGUGGUCAGAGCUAACGUCAUCCCAGAUUGGAUCUGGGUUCCUUCCGAAACCGUGGUCGUGAGACCAUCGCCGCGCGUCGUCCACGUGAUCUGGCCGACGGUGAACGUGAGGCCUUCAGGCACGGCCGCGGAAGCUGGAAUUGUGACCAUCUUGUUCGUCGGAGAAGUUGCACGCACACCCCCUACCUGGCGCGCCACUGUCGACGAAAGCUAGUCGGCAGUCUACCUUGGGGUAUACCCACGGUAGUACUUUAUCGGUAGACGGUGCGCAAACUACAAACUCGAUGGUGACACAAGACACGGACAAGCUUUUUAUCUAGGUUCGGCCGCCGAGUUGGCGUAAUACCUACGUCCUGCGUCUGAUUGUAUUGGAUUGAGAGAAUAAUAUGUCCUAGGGGGGUCCCUUGCCCCUCCUUAUAUAGUCCGGAGGGCAGGGUUAUAGAUGUGGAAACUAAUCCUAGUCGGUUACAAUUGCCAUAGAUAGUUCGAUAUCAAUUCCUAUUCUAACCGACUAGAAUCCCGCUUGAUCUCCACGUCUUGUUUCCUUGCGCGAAACUCCAAACUGUCGGAUCAAGCCUUGAACUUGUCUCGUAAUGGGCCAAGCCUCCUGGCCCAAGUCUUGCCGUAAGGGUAUAGGGGUUUAUACCCCCACAUUGAGCUGUUGUUUAUCUGUUCCUAGAGAUGCUAGAAUUCUAGAGAAUUUUAUCUUUGAAAAUGUUUAUAAUAACACAUGAUGAGUUCCUGUAUGAUGAGAGUUUAAAUUCCUACCACAGCCAUAUGUACAUGCUUGCUAGACUCUGAGCCACACAUUUACUUUUUACUGCUUAUGAGCAUUGAGUGUGGUCAAGGUGUCUAGACCCUUAGGAGCUUGUCAUGCGGUUAAAAUCAAGAUUCACUUGCACGUUCGCUCAUACAUGCUGCUUCUACUCCAAAAGUACGCAUCCACAUACAUCCACUCAUUUCCAUCUCCUGAUUCAUCCAAAAUUAUUCUACUCCUAUCCAGGAGAGAAUAGCCAAAAACAUUAUCCUAUUCCUGUUAUUCCCCGUGAAAUAAAUGCUUGAGAUAUUUUGGUUACUACCACUUGCUCCAUUAUUCCAGGAGGGUGAGUGCUCUUAAAAAAAGAGAAGAUACGAGGAAAUAAAAAGGGGCAAGUGCCCGGAACCUCGAAAGAAAAGAAAAAGUGAGACGAGAGGUAAAAAUGGACAAGUGUCUCACAGUAGAAUUAGGGGUACAAGAUACGCACCUGAGAGAAAAGAAAAAGAAAAUAUAAAGCAUCUCAUUCUCCUCAAAAAGUUUCAAAAGAGCAAGAAAGAUAUGUAUCCCCUCAAAAGAGCAAAAGCAGAAUUAGACUUUCACCAUUAUUUUCACCAUUAUCACCAUUCAUUCGCCACACAUGCACAUCUUGAUUUGACUUAUUGACUUGUUCUUCUGUAUCCAUGGUUU